UUUUAUCAACUCUUCCAACUUUAUGUGGCUAUAAAUACAAACAAAAAAGAGUUGGGGGGAAAAACAGACAAUUAAAGCCAUAUUAUUCCUCUUUCUCCUUUUCCUUUUCCCUUUCCCUUCAACAAACAUUACUGAUUUCUAUCAAAACCAAGAGACAAUGAACAAAGUUCUUCCAGUCACAGUUGUUUGUCUUUUCGUGCUGGCCGUUCUUGGCGGAGUUCGUGUUGCAGAGGCGGUGAGUUGCAGCCCUUCGGAGCUGAGCUCAUGUCUCACGGCAAUCACGUCGAUGGCAGACCCAUCCGCCACUUGCUGCAACAAAUUGAGAGAGCAGCAACCAUGUCUUUGCGGGUACAUAAAGAACCCAGCUUUGAGUAGUUAUUUGAAUUCUCCUCGCGCCAAACAUGUUGCUUCCAAAUGUGGUGUUCCCACUCCAAGGUGUUAGAGGGUCUUUCUUUUGGGCCAUAUGUGUGGAAAUUAAGCUGGAAUAAUUUUAUAGUUAUUCCUAUGAAUAAAACAAUAAAAGAAAAAAACGAUCUAUGUGUUUCUUUUUUUUUUUUAAUUAAGUUAUUAAAGUAGGUUCAUGUUGAUCAUAUAUCUCUUUUCUUUUUUCUUUUAAUGAAUUAAAAUAAUAGGUAUGGUAUGUUUCUAUAAAGAUAUUUUUAGAUUGGUGUUUUCUUUGUUAAAUGUUUCACCUUUUUUCUCUUUUUUAGGUUGCUGUAAAGUAAAAUUGAACAAUAUCUUGGUGAUGAUUAGGUUGCAAAUAUCUUUAUCUCUCCAACUUACAUAGUUUUUCAACAAAAAAAAAAAAAUUUGUUAGGGGAAGAUUUUUGCUUUUUAUUAAAACUUACUAGAUUUUUUCAUGCUGUCUUUUAUAAAAAGAAAAAUUGCAAAAAUAUUUCCAAAUAAGUUUGACAACACUAUUUUUUUUUGCAUACUUCAAAUAUGACAAAGUUAAUGAUAUCAGACUACUAUUAAACGAUAAUCAUCGGUAAUCUAGAGUUGUUGUUGGAGUUGUUGCAGGACUAAUAGACAGUAAUUGUAUGACAGUAGACAGUAAUUGUAUGACAGUAGACAGUCAUCCCUUCUAAAUUAAUUUGCAAAUUUUGUAAAUUUAAAAAAUUUUAUAAUUUUGUAAAUUAAUUUGCAAAUUUUGUAAAUUUAAAAAAUCUUAUAAUUUUGUAAAUUUAAAAAAUCUUAUGACAUGAUUUCUAUUAUCAUACAUUUUUGCUAUUUUUACAAAACUCCAUAUAAAGAUAUACAAAAAUAAGUAAGUCUUCUCGUUGUUGAUUAAGAUAUGUAAAGAGUUGGAACUAAACGUUGUUGAUUAAGAUAUGUAAAGAGUGGAUUUACUUUAGUUCUAUUAACCUGGUUUGUUAGUUUUGGUUAGUUUUUAUGAAUUAGUUUUGGUUAGUUUUUAUGAAUUUAAAUUUAAUCAAAGUAGAUUUUUAAAAAUUUGGAAAGAUAUUUUGUAAUUUUGUUGUAUAAAGUAUAAAUAGGUAUAGGUUCUUUGAAAGGUAAAUAGUUUAUAUAAAAAGAACCCUUAAAACAAGAAUCCUUAAAAUUUGAAUUAUAGAUUGUAUCAUAACCAUAUUCAUAUUCAAAUAGUUUAUAUAAAAAGAACCCUUAAAAUUUGAAUUAUAGAUUGUAUCAUAACCAUAUUACGAAUGCAGUUUGUUUUUAAAUAUACUAAAAUAAACAAAAAAAAAAAAAAAAACUUUUGUAUAGAUUACAUUAUACUAUUAUUAAUAGUAUAUCACUCGAUGUGAUAUUUUACUAAUAUUUUUCUAAAUACUUUUAGUAUGGUGCCCUUCUUCGCAUCAAUUAAACGUUUCUAGACAUCUUUAUAAACAAAUCAAUUUAGAUAUUCUAUUACUUUGUUUAACAAAAUCCAUACAUGAACUCCUACUUAUUUAUUUGAUAAAUUUAACAUUUAAAUUCUAUUUCGAGAGUGGAAGAUUUAAACACAUGGAUAAUUUAUUUAAUCUUAAUAAAGGAUAUAAAUAAUUUCUGUUAUUAUAAUUUAAGAUUAACAUAAACAAUUAUAUGUUUCAUGCAACUUUGAUCAAAAUUCAAAUCUUAAAAGUAGUGUCAAUUGAAAUUUUUACAGAAGUUAAAGAUUAAAUCAUAUAUAAUUAUUAAUUUAGAUUUAAAUAAAUAAAAUAUAUAAAAGGAAGAGGUAAAUUAAAAAAUUUCCCCUUAUAUUUAUAUGUAUAGAUGAAUCAUGAAUUGAAAGGGAAGAAUUUGAAUUCAAAGUGUCUUAAUUGAGAGGAUUGGUUGUGGGGCUGUGAGUGACAAAUGUUAUAUGUUUUAGGACAGCUGGUUGAUCCAUCUUUAUUCAUUUGACAUGUUGGAUCUUCUCUUACUUACUUACUCAUGUAUGUUUUGAUGAUACUAUUGGCACUGGCCCAGACUCCUCUUAUAUUUCUCUUCUAAAAACCAAUUGGCACUUGAAUUUAAAAUAUCUGAUCUUGGUUCUUUAAAGUAUUUUCUUGGUCUCGAAAUACAAUUCUCCACUAAUGGCAUUUUUGUCAACCAAACACAUUGAGAUUGAUUCCCAUUUUGUUCGGGAAAAAGUUCUUCGUAAAGACAUCUCUGUUCGACGCAUCUCCUCCAACAAACAACUUGUUGAUAUACUCACAAAAGCUACUUCUGUCUCUCAUAUUUCUUCACCUUUGAAAUAACUACUAACUCCCUCUGAAUCUUUGGUUUGAGGUGGGAUAUUAGGAAAUAAUAUCAUAUUACAAAAUCUACUCCUAUAAUCCCUCUAUUUGUUGUAAAUUGAUUUGUAAUUAUUUUUUACCAUAUUUGUAUCUUCAAGCAUUGUAUAAAUAUUCAUUUUGAUCAAUGAAAAUAGCAACCAAAUUCAAUACAAUUCAUUGGUAUUUUACAUGAAGGAGAGAGAAAUGAAUAGGAAAUGCAAGAAAGCGGAAUGGGAGGAGGACGAGGCCACAAAGUUGGCAAUAAAGAAAGAUGUAGAAAUCGUUGAUGCACAAUCCAUAAAACCCAGACUUUAGCUUUAGGGAAAUUGUUGUUGUUGUCCAAGUCAUCCAAAUGGAUAUCGGUUGUUGCUACCCAAGUCACCGCCACUCCAUCUGAUCGAUUCCCUCCAUUCAUUGGUUGCAAUUUGUUCAUCUACAGAUGGAUGUGUUGUGUGAGGAAGAAAUUGUGGGUUUCAAAAUUUUAGAGCUUUUUUAAACUAAAGGAUAAUUUAGAUAUUUCACAUAUCCAUUUGUCCCAAGACUCUUCUUUUCAAAAUUUGGUCUCAUUAUCAAAUUUGUACUGUUUUUGCCAAUUAAUCAAAAUUUAAUUAAUGCCUAAAACUUUAAACACUAAUCAAAAUUUAAUCAAUGUUCAAUUAUCAUCAUCGAAACACAGAUAAAUGAAUGUUAAUUAACAUAAUUAAAUGCAUGAUAAAGUCAAACAAGUAAAUUGUCACCAUUUUGUUUGCUAAUUUUAUGUUUUUUAAUCAUAAGUGUUAGGUAACAAAAUUCGUUGCCACAUUUGUAAACUAUAUCAAUCAAAAAAUUUAAUAAUUUGUAACUAUGUUAUUUUUAGGAUUUUUCUUUUUAUCUAUCAAACAGUUUCUGAUAGACCAUUUUAAUAGUCCAUUACUGUUAAUACACGAAAUUGUUUUUGCAUAUAUUGAUUGAUAAACAGUUUGUAGGAUUAUCAUUAUUGAGAGGUAUCUAUCAUGUAUCAACCACUUUAAUAUAUUUGUGAAUUAACAAUAUAUAUUUUACAAGGGGAAUUUUACAUAAAUAAAAAAAUUGAAAGUAUUUACGUUAUAUGUCAAAAAAACGAAGCUUAGGACACGUAAUUUUCACUUUUUGAAAUUUUCAAAAAUACCUUUUAACAUAUUUAAAUCUUCACACGACGAUUACUCGAUUCUCAGAUAUCUUCCAUCUAGAGAGUUUUUAACGUGUUGUUCCUAGUUGAUUGUCAUCUCUCUUUCUUUUACAAUCAUCGAGAGAUUUUGAUCACCAAUGACACUAUUUGUACAUCAUUGAUGUUUCAAUCACCCAGACCCCAUUCUCAGGUCUCGUCAUGUGAUUAAGUGAAGGUGUGACCACCUAGACAUUGAUCAAUGUCUAUCUAACCAUGUCAUAAUGCGUUGGGCAUCUAGUAAGCGAAAUUUUAUGACAACUAAUUCACUUGUUUAACUCGUGCGGAAGAGUUUGUGGUAACUUAAAGUAUUGAAUAGGAGGUGUGGUAACUUAACUUGUUGCACACAUUUACUCCCUAUGAGAGGCUAUAAAAAGGAGAGGUUGAAAGCAUCAGCAAAAGCACAGAAACACACAAAUUCGUUAUUCCUCCCUUCCUCGUAACACAAUCAAAUGAAGAAUUUUCCUAUCACAAUCGUUGUUUGCAUUUUCGUGGUGGCAACCACGGUGGCUCUUCUUAAUGGCGCUCCUCCGGUGGUUGCUCAAGUGGAAUGCGACCCAUCACAGCUCUCGUCAUGCACAGCAGCAUUUUUUGGGAUGACGCCCAGUCAGACAUGUUGCAACAAGUUGAGGGAGGCACAACCAUGCUACUGUGAAUAUAUCAAUGAUCCAGAUUUGAGGAGUUUCGUGAAUUCUAGUGCGGCUAGAAGAAUUGCUAAAUCCUGCAACAUUAGCUUACCAACUGAGGCUGACUGCUCUAAAUAGAAACCCUACUUACUUGAGUUUGGACUCUUCUACAAGAAUUAAGUAUUGUUAUGUCUCUUUAGUUUAAUCUAAUAUACAAUAUUCUGAUCCCAACUAAAAAUAAAGGGAAAACCAACCUAUACUUUCUAUAUAAAUUAAAAGCUCAAUAUUACGUUUUAAUAUACCGCCUUACCCAUUAUGAGUUAAUAAUAAGUCAGUAGAUAGACAUCUCAAAUUGGUAUUAUGGCUAGUGCUAUCUUUUAAGGGUUUAAUUUUGUUAUUUUGUCAGAUAUAUUCCAUCGUUGGAAAUAUUAAUUAAGCUAAAAAUAAUAGAAGAUUAAGUCAACAUUACCUCUUUUUGAAGAAAAGAAACUUUGCCCUUCUCCUGCAAAAACGAAUUAAAUCUUUUUAUUCUAUGAAAUUUGGUUGUCAUUUAAAUGUUUUUCGUUUCUAUUUAUUUAAAAAUUACUUCAUCCACUUUGUAUUCAGGAGAGAUACUCGGUUUCUCAACCUCCUUUUACUAUAUUAUAAUUUGGUGCGUUCAGCUCAAGCUAAGAGCUUUAAUUUUUGCAAUAUUAGUUUAUAUCACAUUUGAACAGUAUAUAUAUAUCUAUACACAUUUGAACAAUAUAUUAUAUCACAUUUGAAUAGUCUAUAUAUAUAUAUAUACACACACACAUACACACAUAUAUAAGGGUUUUUAAAAAAAUUAUAACAAAUCAAUAACAUAUUUACAAUAACAUAUUUACACUAUACUGAACAAUUUUGAAAAUGGAAAACUCCAAGGCCUACGAUAGAAAAUAUAAAAAAUAUCUUAGUCAAGACACAAUUAAUCGACCACAGUCGCGUGCGAGUAAUUUUCUUCUAAACGAUCGUGUCUUACCGUCUCAACGAAUGACAAACGAUUGUGUAAUUCUUUUUUAAUAGAGGAAAGAAAACGUCAAAUUAAAAUAAUCAUGUUGACCAUGACAAACGAUUGUGUUAUCAUGGAACAUGAUCAUGUUGAUUAUAGUUAGCGAUCGUAUACUCCAAUAUAAAUGAUAUUUAAAAACCUUAAAUCUAAUGAUCGUGUUGACCAUGGUGAACGAUCGUGUUAAUUAGUGUUAAUUAGUGUUGAUUAUGGUAAACGAUCGUGUACUCCAAUAUAAAUGAUAUUUAAAAACUAAAUCUAACGAUCGUGUUGACCACAGUAAACGAUCGUGAUUAUUAUGAUAAACGAUCAUUCAGAUCAUAUAUAGUUCUUUUAAACAAUCAUUCAGGUCAUGAUUACUUUUAAUAAUAGAGUUCAUGUCACUUAUAUUUUUAAAAUUGUGAAAAUAACAAAUUUAGAAAUAGAUUGAAAAAAAAGUGUUACGAGCUAAUGAUCCAAAGGUAUAUGAUAUGGUUCUUCUCUUCUCAUUUCUGUUAACAAAAAAAAAAAGGCUUAAAAGUUCAUUAUUUUGAACCACUUAUAAACCAAUAUCAAAUCACUAUAUUGUAGAUUAACUAUAGUGAUUAAAAAAGUCUACUCUAGAUUAUCCCUCUGUCUAGACACGCUUAGUCUUUAAAACUUUGGACACUAAUCAAAAUUUAACUAAUGCAAUCUUUAAACACUAAUCAAAAUUGAACUAAUUAAGGCCUAAAACUUUGAACACUAAUUAAAGUUUAUUCACUGCACAAUUAUAUCAUCAUCCAAAUACUGAUAAAUGAAAAUUAAUUAACAUAAUGAAAAGCUUGGUAAAGUCAAACAAGUAAAUUGCCAUCAUUUGUUUGCGAAUUUUAUGUUUCUUAAAGAUUAGUGUCACGUGAUAAAAUUCGUUGCCACACAUUUGUAACUAUAUCACAAAAAAUUAAUAAUGUGUAAGUGUUAUUUUUACGAUUUUUUUGGAUCUAUCAACAAUAGACUGAACCAUUUUAAUAGUCGAUACACUAAAUUGUUUUUGUAUGGUUGAUUACUAAAAAAUUUGUAGGUUUAUCAUUAUUGAUAGAUGUCUAUCAUUUAUGAACCACUUUAAUAUUUGUGUGAAUUAACAAUAUAUAUGCUAUCAAGAGAAAUUUACAUGAAUAAGAAAAAGUGAAAGUAUUUACCCUGUAUGACAGAAAAAUGAAGCGAAAUAAUAGGUUUUCUGGAUAAUUCAUGGUCGAACAUAGAGAAUUGAUACAAAACAUUAGUUAUAAGGCUCACUCUUCAUCUAGUCGGUAUAAAAUAACUAUCUAAUAAGUCUAAGCUAAAUCUACUAUCUACACUAGAAUAUGUAAAAGGGGACAAAAAUAGUGGCGAGAUGAAAAUGUGAACUAACUUGUAUUAAAAAGUGUCAAGGAAGGUCUUCGUGUUAUUAGGCAAUUAAGCCAUCUAGCUUAUAAUUAAGUUGAGCACCUCUCAGUGCCUUAAACUCACACUAGCUUGCCUUCUCGAGAUACAAAUGAUAAAACUUGGUUAAGACGGAUCUAUCUAAAAGUGUUUACUUACAAGACUUAUAAAACUUCUCUUUUAAGGGUGCAGAGAAGAAGAAGAAUGACUUUUUACAGAGGACAGAAAGACUACUCCUUUCCGCCACUUUUAGGGUUUGGUCGAUCCAUUUAGAUGUUUGACUCUUUUCGAAGUCGACCACUUUACUUGGUAAGGAUGAAGUCUUUUUAUAGGCAUCUUUCGAUGGAAAACAUCUAUUCUUCUGAUCAUGUCAGUGUCGAUUGUAGCAUUUGUCAAGUUACAUCAACCCCAACUACCAUUCUUGUCUUCUAGUGAACCUUUCUCGCGUGAUGACGUAAUUCCUCACCUCAGAAUUAUACUCACCAGACAAUAUUCUCUCGCGUAGUCUUUUGCAUGGGCUCUUAUAUGAUUCACUAAUAUCUUCAUUUAUUCAUAAUUAUGAGUUAAAACACUAAAAACCAAGGUAAAACAGACACAGAGACUUAUGUAAGGUGUAUUUUCCUAAUAGUUAUGAAUUUUCAAUCGAAGUUAACAUAAAAUUUUCUCUCAAGCAACAACGUUGCCACCCUAAACUCUAUAAUUUAAGGUAAGGGGUUUAUUACACACCAAAUCCUCGACAUGAGUAAGACUGAGAUUGAUAAUGUGAUUAUUAUUGAUUAUAUAUUGGGUUGGUUUAAUAGGCAUUGAUAGUAUGACUGAUUUAAUUGAUGACUCAUAAUGAAAUACUUGAGACAUGAUGGUUACGAAUGAGGUUAUUGAAUAUAUUUUACAUGUUAUGUUUAUGACUGAAUUGAAUUGAGAAUGACUAAACUAGGAUGUGUUUGAACUAAUGACAACUAUUAACUUUGAUUAUUAGGUUAAUAUAUACCCUAUAUGUAUAGUGUUCUAUAGGAUCCCCACUUAUAGGUAGUGCAUUAAGUGGAUAACUUUUACUAUUGAUGUGUGCUCUAUGAACUACUAGACUGAUCUCUUACUGGGUAUUUGUUCAAUUUUUCAAACAAAGACAAGGCCGGUAAGAAGGAUCUACGAUUGUGAUUGUGCCAUUUGGAACUAUUGUGACAAUGCUUUCGCUACUUUAUUUUUGUUUUCAUGUUUUAGAGCCACAUGUCUAUUGAUAGAUUUAUCCUAAACUCAUGAUUGGUCCAAAUAAAUUACUUUUUUGGUGAUUGGUUAUUAUAUUUUACUAAACAUUUUGGUUUCUGUUUAGAUUGUUUUAUUGAUUUCAUUUCUUUAUUUAAUUAAAAUGAAUUAAACUUUGCGUAGUUUUCAGUUGGUAACAUGUUAUUUUUGAAAUAAUCUACACACAAAUUGCAUAAGCAGAAAUUAAAACUUGUGUCGGCAGAAACCCAAACUUCAUGGGUUUCACUAACAUCAAUCAACUCUCUCCAAGGAUAUAUUUUUCUUACGCGAAACAUGGUGUUAUACCUUUGCAUAGAAAAUCCAUCAACAUAAAUCAUCUUUAUUGACAUUUUUGUUACGUCGGAAACAGAAAUUGUUCACCCAGCUAAAGAAAUAUCCUUUUCUUGCUGCAGGCUCACUGGAUGUUGGCCCUCCAGAGGUCGACUGUUCUCCCAAUACUCUGCAUCAACCAUAACCUUAAAUAUUACCACAUUCUCUACUCAUUCAUUCAGAUUCUCUAAAAAAUUCCGUUGUGUUACGACCCUUGUUAUACGUUUCUUAAUCCUGUUCAUGGUGAACUCAACCGGCAAAGCAAUUAAUUAAAAUGCAAACGAAGAACAUAAAGGCCAAAAUUAAUGCAAUGCAACCAAGAAAAUACAUACAUUUAGAUCCACAAAUAGGACUCUCGAUUCGUGUAAUCCUAAGAUUCAUGUAUUUAGAUCAAAGAUUGGUGAAUUAAGGAGCACAAAUUCAACAUAGAAUUCUGGAAUUAUGAAAUAUUAAAAAACCAAAUGUCAGGUAUUUAAACAAUAAUGUAAAACAAAUUCUUGUACAUACCGACUUCGAUUAGAAUUGUUGUUAGUUGAUAAUAUUAGAAGAAAAUAUAGAAAAUGUUGCAAACAGUAUGUAAGGCAUAUGCUACUAAUCAAGGUAAAAGUUUCCAACCUCCUAACUUUCAAAUAUUGGUGAAAAGCUUUAAUAUUUUCUAGUUAGAAAAAAUAAAAAAAUUAUAUUAGAUGACAAAAGAAUUUAGAAAAAGUUUUUUUGUAAUUAAUGAUAUCAACUAUAAAAAAAUCUAUCAAAAGAUUACGAGAGAGUUAUUAGAGAUUAUCUGUUUUAAAAUUUGUUAUUUUUACAAUUUAAGAUUUUAUUAUAUAUAUAUAUAUAUAUUUUUUUUUGUUAUUUUUACAAACUCCAAAAAAUAAUUGUGUACUUAUUUGUAUUUAAAAUAAUUUUUAUAUGAACUUUUGGUCACUGUUCCAAAGUUGGGAGUUUGUCACUAUUACCACCACCAACCAUAUAUUUAAUGCAAACUAUAGAUGUUACCAUCAUAAAGUUAACAACUCGAAAUUAAUUUUAUUGAAAGUUAACAACUCAGAAAUUAAUUUUAUUGAAAAGUUUAAGCCAAAACAGAGAAGUUGGUAUAGAAGUGAGGUGCUCACAUUCCACUUUAUGAGGUUAUAAAACGUUGUUUUGAAGGUGCGGCAAAUAGAAACCUAUCCCUCAUUUCUAUAUCAAAAGAAGAAAAAUAAUGAAAAAUCUUGGGUUCACAAGUCUUCCCCUUUUGGUGGUGGCAAUGGCGGCCCUUCUCACUGGAGCUCGUGUUGCCGACGCGAUAACUUGCAACACCAUGGGGCUGAGUCCAUGCAUUGGUGCAAUGACAUCGACGGCGCCACCGUCCACCACUUGUUGCAGUAAGCUGAGGGAGCAACAGCCAUGCUUUUGUCAGUAUAUGAAGAAUCCAAGCUUGGGAGGUUACGUGAAAUCUGCUCGAGCAAAAGCUAUUAUUUCCUCCUGUGGUGUUCCCUAUCCCAAAUGCUAGAGGUCAUGCUUUGUAAUGGACUUUUCUUAUAUAUAUAUAUAUAUAUAGCCUAUACUACAAUAUCAAACGACUAUGAAUAAAAAGGAAAGUGAUCUGGUAUUUUCUUUGUUCUAUAUGCUUCAAUUUUUAUCAUUAUACAAAUAUGUAAUGGCAUUACUAUAAAAGAAUGUGAAAUAUAUCUAGAGAAGUAAAAGACGUAGAAUUAACUUUUUCAUUUGGAUCGUAUAUAGUGCAGCCCAAUCAACUCUUGAAUAAAAACUGACAUGAUUAUUUGUAUUAAUUAAUGGACUAAAUUAAUUAAUAACACAACCCAAGCAUAAUGCAAUAGCCAUAAAAUACACAAACCAAUAGAGAAUACGAACACAAGGAUAUAUAGUUGGUUCGACUAAUUUGGUCUACGUCCACAUUAAGAACAAGUUUUGAGAAAUUUUAUUAAGAGUAUUCGAGUUACAAAUUCACUACAAAAAAAUGAGGGGUCUUCCAACGCACACAAUCGUUGGGAGAUAUACGAAAAAAGAGUUGAAAAAGGAUCUCCCAUAAAAAUGUCUGUCAAAACUGUGCUCGGAUAAAAUGCAUCAAAAGAAGCCUUUACAACACUAAGAUAUGCAGCGUCGGGAAGAUACUGUAUACGAUGUUGGGAGUUCGCCAUCUUUAGUCGUCGGGAGAUCUUAUAUACAAGUCUCGACGCUUACAUAUGGCAUCGCGGGUUUGAUUUUUUUUUUAAAAAAAUACCUUAUAUUAUUUAUUUCAUUUUAUUUUUUGUAACCUCAAAUUUUGAACCCAUUUAUAUAUAUAUGAACAUUUUGACGAACGUACAUAUUUCUAUUAAAGAACAACUGCUUAGUUACUAUUAAAUAACUUCUUAAUUACAUCAAUAAUAUAUAUAUAUAAUAAAGGAAGAUUCAACAUUAUCACAUGAUUAGGAAAUGCAUGAGCAGGCAGAUCCGUUUAGGUUUAGGAAAUAUAUCCGUCAAUGGAGUUACGAGAAUGAGUGAAAAGUAAUUUUGGCAUCCCUUGAAAACGGGAACAUCGUGCUAGCCAUGCGUGAAAUUAUGUAGAAUAGAUAAGUCGAUAUAACACAUUUGUGGGAAAGAAUAGAAAAAAUAUGUAUAAUAUAGGUAUAGGAAAGUUUCAAUUCAAAUGUGUAAACAAGACAUUGCGUUCAAUUGAUUUGAGAUUUUCAAUACCAUAGGCCAAAUCCAACAAAAUACAAGCGUUUAACUUAUCAAAGAAAAACCUCUCAGAAACACCUUUUUGUCUAUACGAAGGUAAGAGAACUAUAUGCAGCAAUUAAAAGUAAAACCUAAUAAAUCUAAGAGGAAUAAAGAAUUGAUCAUUACAGAGAAUGUUGAAUGAUUAUAAUAGUAGGAGAGUUUGAACCCUUUUAGACAAAGAAAUACUUGCCCUUAUACAAAAUGAGGGAGGAGAAGUGAAAGGCAACCCUUGACCCCCAAAUAAGGGCUAAAGUGAUUGUGAUUAUAAACAGAGAACCCCCUUUCCCAACAUAGCAUAAGAAUGUAUCAUGUUGGGAAUGCACAAAAUCUGGUACAUGCAUUGUUCAACAGAAAACUUGGACAAUCUUCUAAGUUUUAGAUCCAGCCACAUAAGUUAAAAGUAGUUCGGACGGCCGUAUAGUUGUCCACAUAAAAUAUCUCCGUCUUUAUACGUAUAGUUGAAAAUUUUGAUGAUGACAACAAGAAAGAAAAGAGAAAAAAGAAAGUCAAAUAGAACAGAUUCAAUGUUGGUGGAAUUUUUAGCCUCUGCUUCAAAAUUCUAUUUUUUCUCUAAAUUUAAACAACUUUGGGCCAUUUGACAAAGUGAGUGAGAUCCCUCUUGGACGGCAAUGCUCCACUGAUUCCAAACUGUUUGGGACGCUUCUAAAGUAGUGGGUUUUACCACCUUUUGCUGCAAAGAAUCCAAAGCGGUGUUAAACCAAAGCAAUAAAGAAUUGAAACAAUAAAUUUCACAUAAGAAUAUGUUGGAAAACGAACUAGGGGUAGACGUAGUGGAAUUCUCCGUUGCGCGUAGCUGCUGUUGAAGAUUCGAAUCAAUCUGCCUUCGUCUACAUCUGUUGUCCGUUUACGAGUUGCAAGCCAACCCACACGCAUAUCUAUUUUGCACAAUCUCUUUUGUGUUGGUUUCGAAAGCCGUUGUUUCUACCUUGUUGUGGUUUGUGGUAAGGGUGUAGUUUUGGGUUUUGGUGAUUGUUUUCAAUAACCAAUAUUGGUUGGGUUAGUAAAUUGAUUGAUAUUGUUUCUUCAAGGUGCAAAUUGUGGACAACACUUAAAUUCCUUGAGUUUCAAAUGAGUGGGGUUGGACUCCAAUUCUCCACGUUUUGGGUAAGUUGUGGAAAUUAUAUAUAUAGGAUGAAUUGAAUAGAUGAAAUUGUUUCUGGAAGUCAUUGAUUUCUGUUUACUUAUGUUUAGGUUGUUUUUGUUGAACUUUAGUGGAAUAAAUGAAGUUAAGGUAAGGGUUCCUACUACUGGACUCAAUGAUGAAAUUAAGAUGUAUUGACUAUAUGGAUUCCACUGAACUUAGAUGGACUAACUGAUAAGCAAAUUUAUAUUUGAUGACUGUUUAUUAUAUGAAUUUUAUUGAACUGAGAUGAGUUGACCGAUAUGUAAAAUUUAGUUUGAUGACUGAACUGAGGAUAUCGAAUUGAUUAGAUUGUGGGUUGUUGACGGUUAUGUUAAGGCAUAGGUAGUGUAAUGUAGGUUGAAUUGACAAACUAGAUUGAAUUGACUGAACUGAGGUGAGUGACGCUUAUGUAUAAAUUUAAUUAUUUGAGGGACUGUUCUGAUGAUGUUUGAUUAUGUAUUGGUUUGGGUAAAUUAAUUGUAUAUGUGUUGAGCUGAAAGAAGGAUAUAAUGGUAGUUUAUAUUCUAAGUUGAGUUGACUGUUUUAAAUGUUAGUAUGGACUGAGGGGAAACUGUUAGCUUUAUCUGUAGGGUAGUGUGUCUUGCAGGUGCCCCACGGGAUCACCACCUGUUGUACAUCCUUUUGAACACUAGACUGAUAGGUGCAUCCUUCGGGAGCACUAGACUGAUAUGUGCAUCUUUUAUGAGCAUUAGAUUAAUUAUGUGCAUCCUACGGGAUCACAAGACUGUUAUGAUACAUGGUACCUUCCAAUAGAAAGUUAAUAAUUUUACCCUAGUGGGACCAGUAGUGUGUCUCUUGCUGGGUAUGUUUAUACUCACCCUUUUAUGUUUAACUUUUCAGGCAAAAGUAAUAUAAGAGACCGACCAACGAGGAAUAAGAAGGAGACGUGAUCGCCAUAGGAGGAUUUUCUUUAAAAUAGCUUCCGCUUACAGUUUUCUUUUGUUUUACUUUAGUAGUUGUGACUGAAACGAAUUUCAUGUUUAGCACAACAAUUUAUUUCUUGAUUUUAUAAACAAUAAUUUCGAACCUUUAAUUUUGUUUGAAAUAGGGCCUGAAUAAAGAUUUAUUUGAUGUUUAUUGAUUUUAACAUAUUUUAUAAACACUCAUGUUUAAAAGAAGUGCAUUUGUAUUAAAGUAACUACCUCAGUUUAGUUUGAAAAGUUUGGAUCGUUACACCUAGCCAUCCACCCAAUCUUACUCCUAAAAUGGGAGGCUUAUUGUGUCAGUGUCGUUGAGCUACCUUCACCUAUGCAGAUCUAAGGAUAAUUUCGUGUGAACAAAAGUUCAUAGUUAACUUAGGAUUAAGAUUAAGUUACAUGGGUCAUCAAUAAACAAAAUAGUCAGUUUUAUACAAUCAAUGGUGUUAUAACUUAAAAGUGAUUAUUUUAUGAUUUCAGUCUUAUGUAAACUUUGUACAUAGGAUACUCCAACUUCCAUGGUCUCUACAUGAACGAUUCAGGAUCAUAUCGUUUGUACUAACUACAACAAGAAUAAGGCUUAUUCAUACACUAUAGACCAUUUGGGCUAUAUACUUGAACUUGAUCCACAUUUAUGUAAAUUCAAGUCUACACUAGGUAGCAUAAGGACCUUAGUUUAUUUAGAUUCAAGAUUAUAGUAUUCUAUUAAUAAAUCCUCAAUAACCACUUUAUUGAAUAAAAUAUACUUUUAAACUACAAACUACGAGUUUUAUGACAUAAAUUUCAACAGUUUUGUCAUUUAAUGACCCAUCCCAUCUGACUCCUUUCAUUAAAAUACCUUACUUUACUCACCAUGAUAUUUCAUUCUCUAUAAAUUGUGUUAGUCAAUUGAUGCACAAACCCACUGUUAUUCACUUCUCUGCAAUCAAAUGCAUCCUACGAUAUCUAUGUGGUACUCAACCCUUGGGAUAAAAUUUUGCAUGGGUUCAUUAAUUAUAUCUAUAAACCUUUUAUGACUCUGAUUGUGCUAGCGACACUUCUGAUCGACAUUCCACCUAUGGAUUCAUUGUCUUUCUUGGUUAUAAUCAUAUCUAUUGGUCUUUUAGAAAGCAACCUACAGUCUAACGUUCUUCCACAUAAGCAAAAAAUUGCUCACUCGCCACUACCACUGCAGAUCUUUACUGGAACCGACAAGUUCUAUGUGAUCUUCAUGUUCCACUUUAAAUCUUCAACAACCUUAUGGUGUGAUAAUGUUUUAGCUAUAUCUCAGGUUCAUAAUCUCGUGUUUCAUGCUCGCACUGAACACAUUGAGAUUGAUUACCACUUUUUUCAAACUUUCAUUUGUUACAUCUCUUCCAACGAUCAACUUGUUGAUCUACAAACAAAGUCACUCUCAUCUACAACACUUCUACAACUCCGAGACAAACUAUUGACUCAUUUUGAGUCAUCAAUCUGAGGGAGGAUAUUAGAGGAUAUUUUCCAAAAUCACAAUCCUCUUCAUAAUCUACUCCUCAAUUUCUGCCCUUUAUUUUUGCCCAAAUUGUAUAUUUGAUUAUAUCCCAAUCUUUUCAUAUUUAAUAUUAUCUUGUAUUGCAUAUUUAUACCAAACCAUUGUAAAAAGAAAUAAAAACAAGCAAAAUAUAUUCGUCUCUAAUUCCUUUUAUGAUUUAGGAUAAUUCAAAAAAAUGUUAAAAUAAUUGUGGUAAUUUUUGUGCUCUAGAAUAGAUCAAACGUGUAGAGCAACCCAACAUUUAAAUCAAUGCCAACAAUAUUUGUUAAUUGUUAUCAUCACAAUAUUAACUUUAUGGAAAAGGAUGUUGGAAGCAAUUAAAAUCAAAGAGAAAAGUAGGUGAAAUUGGAAAUGAGAAAUUAAUAAUAGGGUUGGCCCUUUUAUCAACUCUUCCAACUUUAUGUGGCUAUAAAUACAAACAAAAAAGAGUUGGGGGGAAAAACAGACAAUUAAAGCCAUAUUAUUCCUCUUUCUCCUUUUCCUUUUCCCUUUCCCUUCAACAAACAUUACUGAUUUCUAUCAAAACCAAGAGACAAUGAACAAAGUUCUUCCAGUCACAGUUGUUUGUCUUUUCGUGCUGGCCGUUCUUGGCGGAGUUCGUGUUGCAGAGGCGGUGAGUUGCAGACCUUCGGAGCUGAGCUCAUGUGCCAGGGCAAUCACGUCGAUGGCAGACCCAUCCGCCACUUGCUGCAGCAAAUUGAGAGAGCAGCAACAAUGUCUUUGCGGGUACAUAAAGAACCCAGCUUUGAGUCCUUAUGUGAAUUCUCCUGGCGCCAAACAUGUUGCUUCCAAAUGUGGUGUUCCCACUCCAAGGUGUUAGAGGGUCUUUCUUUUGGGCCAUAUGUGUGGAAAUUAAGCUGGAAUAAUUUUAUAGUUAUUCCUAUGAAUAAAACAAUAAAAGAAAGUUAUUAAAGUAGGUUCAUGUUGAUCAUAUAUCUCUUUUCUUUUUUCUUUUAAUGAAUUAAAAUAAUAGGUAUGGUAUGUUUCUAUAAAGAUAUUUUUAGAUUGGUGUUUUCUUUGUUAAAUGUUUCACCUUUUUUCUCUUUUUUAGGUUGCUGUAAAGUAAAAUUGAACAAUAUCUUGGUGAUGAUUAGGUUGCAAAUAUCUUUAUGUCUCCAACUUACAUAGUUUUUCAACCAAAAAAAAAAAAAUUGUUAGGGGAAGAUUUUUGCUUUUUAUUAAAACUUACUAGAUUUUUUCAUGCUGUCUUUUAUAAAAAGAAAAAUUGCAAAAAUAUUUCAAAAUAAGUUUGACAACACUAUUUUUUUUGCAUACUUCGAAUAUGACGUAUUAUGACAAAGUUAAUGAUAUCAGACUACUAUUAAACGAUAAUCAUCCGUAAUCUAGAGUUGUUGCAAGAGUUGUUGUAGGACUAACAGACAGUAAUUGUAUGAGACUAUGAGGCAGUUAUCCCUCAAAUUUUAUAAAUUUAAAAAAUCUUAUGACAUGAUUUCUAUUAUCAUACAUUUUUGCUAUUUUUACAAAAGCUCCUUCUAAACAUAUACAAAAAUAAGUAUUUUUACAAAAGCUCCUUCUAAACAUAUACAAAAAUAAGUAAGUCUUCUCGUUGUUGAUUAAGAUAUGUAAAGAGUGGAUUUACUUUAGUUCUAUUAACCUGGUUUGUUAGUUUUGGUUAGUUUUUAUGAAUUAGUUUUGGUUAGUUUUUAUGAAUUUAAAUUUAAUCAAAGUAGAUUUUUAAAAAUUUGGAAAGUUAUAUUCAGUAAUUUUUUUCUAUAAAGUAUAAAUAGUUUGUCUUAAACCCUUAAAAUUUAAAUUAUAGAUGGUAUCAUAACCAUUAUAUCAAUUUGUUUUCAAAUAUACUAAAAUAAACAAAAAAAAAAAAACUUUUGUAUAGAUUACAUUAUACUAUUAUUAAUAGUAUAUCACUCGAUGUGAUAUUUUACUAAUAUUUUUCUAAAUACUUUAGUAUGGUGCCCUUCUUCGCAUCAAUUAAACGUUUCUAGAUAUCUUUAUAAUGUCUAUAAACAAAUCAAUUUAGAUAUUCUAUUACUUUGUUUAACAAAAUUCAUACAUGAACUCCUACUUAUUUAUUUGAUAAAUUUAACAUUUAAAUUCUAUUUCGAGAGUGGAAGAUUUAAAUACAUGGAUAAUUUAUUUAAUCUUAAUAAAGGAUAUAAAUUAUUUCUGUUAUUAUAAUUUAAGAUUAACAUAAACAAUUAUAUGUUUCAUGCAACUUUGAUCAAAAUUCAAAUCUUAAAAGUAGUGUCAAUUGAAAUUUUUACAGAAGCUAAAGAUUAAAUCAUAUAUAAUUAUUAAUUUAGAUUUAAAUAAAUAAAAUAUAUAAAAUGAAGAGGUAAAUUAAAAAUUUCCCCUUAUAUUUAUAUGUAUAGAUGAAUCAUGAAUUGAAAGGGAAGAAUUUGAAUUCAAAGUGUCUUAAUUGAGAGGAUUGGUUGUGGGGCUGUGAGUGACAAAUGUUAUAUGUUUUAGGACAGCUGGUUAAUUCAUAAAUAUAUAUAUAUACACCGAACAGUUUGCAUUUAAUUGAAUUAAAUGUUUGCAGUGAUUAUAACUAUUGUCCUGAAUAGUUUGAAAUGACGUGAAGCAUGUUGAAUAAUAUCAAAUUUAACAAAAUAUUUCUGACGUAUCGGGUGAUUUUAGAUAUUUACAAAAUUUUCAGAUUCUAUCAGUAUUAAACAUUGAUAGUGAGUAUUACGCUUCUAUAAGUGGUAUUGAUAGACAGUAAUAGAAAUAUAUAUGUGACUAUUAUUGAUGGAAUACAAAAGUUUGUUAUAUUUUAUAAAUAUUUUAAUUUAUUUUGCUAUUUUUAGAAAUGUUUCUACUCAUUUUCAUAAAUGUAAUAAAAAAAACCAAAAUAUUUACUGCUAACAAAAACAAAAAGUUCAUAAAGCUGGUAAAAUAUUUUCUUAAAUUCUAGAUUUGCUUUUGAUAUCGUGAACAAUUAAUCCAUUCUCUUUCUUUUCGAUUUAUUCAUUUUCUUUUCCAGAUUUCUACAACUUCUCUUUCAGAUUUUUUUUUCUUAUAUUUUUUCUUCAUCUUUAUUUUUUAUUUCUUUCUUCCAACUCAUCUUCUAGAAUAUCAAGAUUGUUUAGAUAUUACUUUCAUAUAUAUAAAAGAUCACUUAGUUAGGAUGAUCAACACAAUCGUUUAGAUAUGGAGUCCUUUUUCCAUGUUUAAAAAGAAUUACAUGAUCGUGUGAAUAUAAUCUAAACGAUCGCUUAUCUAAUCAACACAAUCGUUUAAAUUUGAAGCCAUUUUUCCAUCGUUUUGAAAAGAAUUACAUGACCGUGUGGAUAUGAUCUAAGUGAUCGCUUACCAUAGUCAACGCGACUGUUUAGCGUGGUCAACACGAUCGUUUAGAUUUGAAGCGUUUUUCUCAUCGUUAAAAAAACUACACUAUCCUGUUGAUACUAAUUACAUGAUUGUGUUGAUAUUACCUACACGAUUGUGUAUCAUUUCCAACAUGAUCGUGUAUCAUGAUCGUUUAGAACAAGAAUUACAUGCGUGCGUGUGACUGAUUAAUCAUAUAUUGACUAUGGUAUUUUUUGUAUUUUUCAUUGUAGGUCUAUGGAAUUUUUUCGUUUUCAAAUUUGAUCAAUACGAUAUAAAUAUAUUACAUUUUUGUUAUAUAUUUUAAAAAAUUCCAUAAUAAUAAAUAUUUUAUUUAAAAAAUUAUCUCCCAACAAUAAAGAAAAUUAAUUGCACAAUCCAAAUUUGUUUUUGUUUUGUUAUUUCUAAUUUUUUCAGUGUUUGAUAAAUUGUUACAAAAAAAAAAAAAAGUGUUGUAAAAAUAGUAAAAACAAUUAGGGUUUAUAUCACUCUAUUUUCUAAAUUACUAAAAUAGUAAAUUUAAAAACGGAUAGCUAUAGUCAUUUGAUAUAUGUAUCAUUUUGUCGUAUUUGCCAAGGAAGAGGUGCUUUAGCUAUUUUUUUUUCUAAUUGUUUUGUCAUCCAAUUUUCCAAAAUAAACAAAUAAUUUAAACUAUUUUCUCAUAAAAAUAAUUUAAUAGACUAUUAGAGAAUUGGACGGUUUUUUUCUUUUUUUUUGGUUAUAUUUGUAGAUUUCUUUUUUCUAUUCUUACAAAUGAGAGAAUUGUACGAUAGCAUUCAUGUCAUCAUAUUUUUGAAAUUAUUGGUAAGUAAUUUCUAUGGCCAAAAUUGACUAUAUUACAGAACUAAUAUAAAGAUAAUUAUAUAUAAAAAGAGAGUAAGAUAAGAAAAAUAUAUCAAGUAAUUUCAUAAUUUAGAAUAGAGACCAACUUGAAUUUGUGAAGUAAUUGAGUGAAGCAAAGAGAACGAAAAGCUUUCGUAAAGAUAUUAGCUGGUUGUUCUGUGGUGGAGAUGAAUUGAAGAUGAAGAGUUUUGCUUUUAUGAUGAUGGCGAAUAAAGUGUCAAUCAUUCUCAACGUGCUUUGCUCGUUCAUGAAAUACACUAUUGUGAGUAAUUUGAAUGACACUAAGAUUAUCUCAAUCAAAAAUAGUUUAGUUUAAUUUUAUUUAAUUAAAUUAAAACUAGGAUUUUUUUUUUUAAAAAAUAGUAGCUUUUACAAAAUAUUUACAACCUAUAGUAAAUUUUUACUGAUGAUCAUUGAUAUACUACGGUAAUAGAAUUCAAAAUUUUAUUAUAGUUUAUAAAUAUUUUAAUUUAUUUUACUAUUUUUAAAAAUGACUCUAAUAAAUAUGGAUUUUAAUUUAUUUAACUUCUAAUUAAAUUAAAUAAAUUUAUAAUUAAUUUUAUUAAAUCGUAUUUAAUCAAAAUUAAUUAAUCAUAUUAAUAACUUCCAUAUAAAUUAAUUAACAUGCACACUAUACAUUAUAGCCAUUAUAACAUAUUUUGAAUGCGUGGACAUGUCAACUUAUAAUGAGAUUUUAAAUCUAUAUGACAUACUUUAUACACAUACAAUUUAAACUUUAAUUAAACAUACAUCACUAAUUAAAAGAUAAUAAAAUAGUGUACACUCUGUUUUGAGUUUGAGUUGCAUGCUUGAUGCUAACUGUAAAGAGAAUUAGGCUUGAUAAUUUACAAGAAAAGAAUGCAGUGAAAAUAUCAUGAGCUAAAUAAUAUUUCGUGACAUGCUUCGCAUUACAACUUGAAAGUCUAUUUAUAGACUUCGAAUUUCAAACGCAAUUGAAGUAAAAAAAAGAAGAUAAAAUCAAAUCAGAUAGAACAUAACCUCUUAUUCGAUAAAAUUUUGAAGAAAAAAAGAUAAGAUCGAAUCAACUAGAUAAAAUGGUUCAGAGUAAGAUUUGGGUGGAUGGUAAAAUCCUAAAAUUUUAAAAUUAUUUAUAUAAAUUAGAAAGUAGUGGAUAAUUAUUGAAAUCAUAUUUUCGUACAAAACUAAAGUGUGGAAAUUUCCACCACCUAAUAAACUGCUUUAUUAAUAAUUUACUUUAAUAGUUUUAUAAUUAUUGUGCAUAGUUAGUAACUAACGUAUUUAUUAUUCACACAUAUUAAUUAUUAACAUUACUAUAUCUGCAUAAUAAAUGGAAAGAUUUAUAACAGGAAAUGAAUUUGUCGGCCAUUGAUCCAAGGAGAAAUUGAAGUUUUCUUUCUACUCUCCAAGAAUAUUUGUUGUCCUUUCAAGUUGUAAUUGUGUAUACUAUUAUUCGUAUUUGGUACCUUCAUUAUUGACUGACCAAUGGACUCCCUGCACUUCAACAUUGUCACUUACGAUCCCGACCAUCAAAUGUAGUUUAACACUUUACGAAAUAUACACAAUUUCAUUUUAGCUUUUAGACUUGAUCUUGAAUUGUACUUAUUGUCUUCAUUUUUUUCCUGAAUUUCUGGAUGACAGAACAAUAUUUAUUUUUUAUACUAGGGAUGCGAAAAUACAUUUUAUUUUUAUUAUUUUUUAUAAUAUAAUAAUUUGAAUAGAAAUCUUCUUUUAGAAGACUCUAUAUAUAAUCUAUUUUCCUUUUGAAACAUGUAUAUGGGUUCGGAGCUCACAUAGGUCGUGAGUCGAGAUACGGGUCAUCCAGAUCGUAUUAUGGAUCUGCUUGCUCUUCACUUCCUAUAUGGAGGAAGAGAUUGAUUUGAAGAUGAGGAAGCAUUUACUUGCUGUUAAUAGUAAUCUUUGGAAAUCUACAUCAGUCGUGGCUUGAGCAAGUUCUGCAAGAAGCUUUGGUUUAUCAUUUAAGAAUUCAGCAUUCUUUCUUUGAUCAAGGUCUUGUAAAUAGUUGUUCUUUACAAACCAUUCUUUCACGUGUGUUGACGGUGACAUGUUGAAAGUUUUAUUUUUCCCACCGUUGGAUCUUCAGAUUUUUUACUAACAUUUUGUAUUGAGGAUAUGAUGUUAUAUUGUAGCUCCAACAAAAUAUCCAUAGAAUUUGAAAAUAAAGGCAAAAUCUCAUCGAAUUAUGAAAUGAAUUCUUUUGAAAUGUUCUUGAAAAAUAAAAAUAUGAUUCUUGAAUUGGAGUUGGUAGAAUAUCGUUGGUAAUACCAAAGUUAUUCAACCAUUGAAUAAACCAUAAAGGAAAAUUAAUUUUGUAGGCGUUUUGACAAAAAGAAAGAACCACGAAUGGUUUCUAUUUGAAAAUUAAAAUACUCUAAACCAAGUUUUGAUGUAAUCUUGAAAGGAGUAAGAUUGAGGAACAAAACGCUUUGAAAAUGAUUUUUUUUGUAAAAUGUUUUUGAUUCUAAUGAGUUGAUCAAUUGAUUGCUUUGAAAUUUUUUAAUUUUGAAUAUGCAAUUUUUAAAGGAUCAGCUAAAAUAUACUCAUAGAAUUUUCUUGUUUUUUUGAGGUCUUUUGGAUCGAAGUUGAAGCCCUUGGGGGAAUAUUUUUUAAACUCUCUUAUAGAGUGAGACUUUGAUAUUCGAGUUCUAUGAUAGGACCAUAGACCACGAUCGAAUUUUAAAAAUAAGUUUUGAUCUUGGGUCUUGGCACGAACCGUUUAUCGAAAGUGACAGCAUGAGAAUAAGUUAGAGGAGGAGUGGAAGACUCCCUAUUGGAUGAAGGAGAGGUAGGAAGCCUCAUUGGAACAACUCCGCUAGAAGGACAGAUGAGAUUGGCCGAAGGCCUAGAUGGAGUUGAUGGCUCUAUGGGAGAUCCAGUCCGUAUGCCCGAUGAUCUUACUCUGGAUUAGGUUACUGUGGUAUUCCUUAUAUCCAUAGCAUAUUGAUCUGCACUCAUGUGUGAAGGUGCAUAAUUAGAAGAAGAAGAGAUGGGUGGUUGCCCUUUGAAGAGGUCGAGUUUACUCUUCAUCUUGCACUUUCCUUUUCCAAACUCAUUCUUCUUCUUCGAGUGCUUUUAAAAAGGAGAGAGUUUUGGAGUUAGAAACUCCUUUGAGAUGUAAUCAACUAGGGGUUUUUGUUAUCCUUUUAUAGGCACAACUUCAAAAUCAAAGCAAGACGGUUUGCCAUUUGGCAAAAAUUUGUUUUGAAACAAGAUUUUUCACAUUUUUUUCUAACACGAAUUUUGAAGCUCUUGAAUUUGUUUUGAUUAUGAAUUUUUUAUUGAUUAGUUCUCCUUGGAAUUUUUUAAGACACAAAGAACUACGACAAGUAAUUCCUUUUUUAUCGUUGAGUAAUUUUUUGUGUAUCAUUCCAAAUUUCUGAGUGGAGUCAGAUCAUUGAUUCGGUCUUAUCUAGACACUAUUUGAGGAUUCCUCCAUCUUCUAUAUUAGAGGCAUCAAUUUCAAUGAUAAGGUUUGCUUUUGAAUUAAUGAGAUUGAGACAAAUGAUUCAUUUGACUAAAGACUUAAUUUUUUGAACAAUUUGGGUGUGCUUAUCAGACCAUGGUUUUAAAUUUUUCUUUAACCUUUUGUACAACGGUUUGCAAAUGCGGUUGAGGUUCUUUAUGAAAUCAAGCACAUAAUCUAGGCAGUCCAAAAACCUUUGAAGAUGGGUUUUAUCUCGAAUUUGAUUAGUAAAAUUUAGAGAAAAUUGUGAGAAUUACAAAAUAAGAUAGUGCAGUUUGGAAAAAAGCAAAUUUAAAAAAUAAUUUGAAUUUUAGCAAAAUUGUAAAACAUAUAUACUUUUUGAGAAUCUUUCAACCGAUUUUAUCCCUUGAUAGAAUGAAUAUCAUUUUGUUAAUUACAAUAUAUUUGUGAACCGUAAAACAAUAAAACAUAACACAUAAUUACGAUUACGAUGUAUUUGGAUAUCAUUCAAUUUUAUAAUAAUAUUAAAUAAAUAUUUAUUUUAUCUAUUGAUCUCAUUUAACUAAAUUCUAGAUUCAUGCCUUAAAUUUAUAACAGAUUAUCAUAUUGCUUAAUUGUAGGUCUCGUUGGAUGAUUCAAAAAUUUGAAUUUAGAAUAAUAUCUUUUACCUAAAAUUAUGCAUUUUAUAUAAUAACAACUUCAUAUAAAUGGUGUAUCUUUCCUAUAAUUAUGUAUAUAGCAAUUAUUCCAUUUUCGGAUUGAUCGUAUUAAUAAUAAUCAAUUGUUAAGAAUUAUUUUAGGGAAUAAAUGGUAACAUAACAUCAAUGCAAUCUUGUUACGUAAUUAUCAUUAAAUUAGAAACAUUUUCUUUAUAUAUUAUUUACUACCAUUUAAAAAUUGAUUUUAAAUUCUUGUAAAUUCUCCUAAAAUCGUAUUAUUGGAUUGAUAUCCCUAAAAUAAUAGCAAAUAUAAAUUUAAUAUUUUUGAAUUAUUUAUAUUUCAAAACAUUUAUAAAAUUAUUGAAUUUAAAUACCUCCAAAAUACGUAUUGCUCGUAACAAAUUGAAUUAAAAAUUUUAUCUUCCCCUAAAGUCGUUCUAAUUCGUUUAUUUUUAUUUUUUAAAAAUUGUUUUAUUGUGCCAGUGGUAGGAAUAAUUAUUUUGAGACGUGUUUUUAAAUUACGUUAAUAUCUACGUUUAUUUUCAUCUAGUAAGAGUCUCAAAUGCAUCAUAAUUGUGAUCCACAAUCUUUAAAAUCUUAUAGUCAUCUAUUAUACAAACUUAUUCCAAUCAACAGAUUUUGGACACACAAAAAAAGAUAAAAAAUUUGGUCAUCAAGAUGUAGUUCAUUACCCAUCUUGAUUUCACAUAUUCCAAAUACAAUUUAUUUCAAUAGAUAAAAAAAACGAGACAUGAUAUUGAAGAUAGCACAAAAUCACUAUAUUUCGUAAAUAACAUUCAAAUUUGAUAAAUCUUAACUAAACAUGUUAUUUUGUACCAUUUAUUAAAUAAUACAUGAUAUAAUUUUAAUAACAAUUUGAAUUUAAAUUUUAGAUCCUUCCCUAAAAGUAUGUUAAAUAUAAAUAUAAUAAUUUCACUUUUUUUAAAUAUUUUUAGUCGAUUUUACUUGUAUAGAGGAAAAUUUUUAUCUGAUAGAUAUAGUCUACUACAUUAAAAUGAUGGGUAAUGAUGGAAUAUAACCCAAAAUCACGAAUACAUUGUAUUUACAAAUCAUUCAGUUGUGUAAAAAUAUUAAAUAAAUAUUUAUUUUCGAAAUUAAUUUGAUUGAAUCAACAUCCCUUAGAUUUAAGUCUACAAUUUAUUCCAGGUUUUCUUGUUUGUAGGUUUCAAAUCAAGUAAUUAACAAUUUAUUUAGUUGUGGUUGUUAAAAUUAAAAUUGUAUCUUACUCCUAUAAUUAUGAUGCAUUUAAUGUAUAUAUAUAUGAUUAUUUAUAAGAAAAUUUUGAUCUUCCCCUAUAAUCGUGGUAAUUGAUUGAUUUCCUAAAACAAUGUCAAACAUAAUUUCAAAAUUUUAGGAUUAUCUUGUUAAUAUCAUUUAUCUAUUUUCCAUAAUUGUUAUUUAAAAAUAGAUUUUAAAUUUUGAUUUGAAACCGUCAAAAUAUUAAAAUUGAUUUAAAAAUUUAUAAAAAUAGUUAUGAUUAAUAAUAAUUUGAAUUUAAAAUUUUGUUAUCCCAAAAUCAUGCUAAGAUUAUAUUUAUAUCUCCAAAAUAAUAGCAAACAUAAAUUUAACAUUUUCGAAUUAUUUAUAUUUCAAAACAUUUAUAAAAAUUUAAUAUUUUAUUUUUGGAAAGAAUUAAUUGAGAAGAAAAUAUUUGUUUUAUUUAAAUUGGAAAAGACAAAAAAGGAAAAGGAAGAUAUUUAAGGGGAAAUAAUAAUAUAAUAACAUUAUUAUUACUAUUCAUCAUCUUCUUCACUUUCACCAAACCCUAGCCGCCGCUGACACUUCUAUCUCCGUUCGAGUGUUCUUCGUCCAAUCGAGAUCUCCACCUUUGUAACCAUCUCCUCCAUUAUGUUGAUCAAGAACUAAGCUAUAAAGAAACAUCUCCUCCGCUACACGCCCAGUUGCGCCGGUUUUCUUCUUCUGCAUUCGUUCACCGAUUAUGCCAAAACUUUCAGCCACUGUCAGCCGUCGAAUUUUAGUGUCUUUGUUGUUGUUGGGGUUUUGUGACAUACAUUGUAUCUUUUCUAAAAAUCAAGCGGAUAUAUUGUUGUUGUAAUUUAAACGAGCGAAGAAGAAAAUCCGUUGAAGAAGCUUACCUUUGCGUGAAACAAAAAAGAAUCUAUAAUCGGUUUGAUGAAAAAGAUGGUUGACAAGAAGAAAAUUCUUUGAUUUGCACUGAAUGUAUGAAAACUUUGAAGGUUUCGAGAAGAACGAAGUUUAAAGCUCCAAUCUUUUCAGCAAAUGAAUCGAAGACUUUGAAGAUUUAGUGGAAUCUACGAAAGUGGAAGGUAGUGAAGCUGGAUUCUUUUCGGCUUUUAAUACCUAAACAUGCACAAUUUCAACAAGGAUGUGUUAUUUAAUUACAAGGUAUUUGGGGUUUAGAUGAACAAUUGUAUUUAGAACUGAUUUUGAAUUGGGUAGGGGCAUUUGAGACAUUGUUUCAUUUAUUUAUUUACAGAUUUUUGAGUUUUACCAUUCUAACAAUUUAAAAUUAAAUUUGCUAUUUUCUCAAAAUAAACCUCAUAAAUUGUCAUUGUUCUUGUCAGCCCUAAAAUUUAAAGCAAACUCAAUUGAUCUCUGAAUCGGCUUAAAUUCUCCUACAUGUAUUUCAAAGCCCAAAUAACUUAUUUUUGUUUCAAAUUAAUUUUACUUUUGGUAGAGAGACUACCAAACCAUUUGUUUUUAUAAUAUCUAUAAAAAUAUUGAUAUGCUUAAAAUGCUUUUUUAUAUUUGGAGAAAAGACCAAAACAUUAUUAAUAUAAACAAUUGUAAAAUCUUGAAAAUCAUUAAAAAUAUCAUUCAUGAUUUUUUGAAAUUCUAAUGGUGCAUUUUUUAGCCCAAAACGCAUUAAAUUCUAUUCAUAAUGUCUUAACGGAACAUUAAAAGCAGUUUUGUAUUUAUCUUUUUCGAAACUUUGAAUUUGCCAAAAUUUGAAUUUUAUGUCAAAUUUUAAAAAUAUUUUUGCAUUUGCAAUUCUUUUUAAUAAAUAUUGUUUGUCGGGAAUUAGAUAUUUAAUUCAUUCCAAGACUUUGUUUAAAGGUUUAUAGUUGGUUACUAACCUUGGAACUCCAUGCUCUUUUUCGACGACGUUAUUGACAUAAAAGUCGACACACGACCAUAGACUUUUAUAGUAUCUUAUUAGAUUUUUAUCUAAAAGUUUUGUAUUUCUUUUCUACAAUGUGUUAGCAAGUAUGAAUUUAUUUGAAUCGAUCUAGUCUUUGUUGGGAUAUCCGAUUCUUUGAAUUCUUUAGAAUAUGGAAGAUCAACUAUGUGUUUUUUCCUAUCCCACAAUGCAUGUGGUGAACUAGAACAAAUUUCUUUUCAAUUUUAAAUUGAAUGAGAAAUUGCAUCAGAUGACAAAAACAUUUAAAAAAAAAACAGCAUACGACACCUACUUUUUGCAUAUUGCGAAUAUGACAAAAUUAGUGAUAUUAGACAACUAUAAGAUGACUAUCGGAGCGCUAUCAGAGGGUAAUCGACUUUUAAAUUUGCUACUUUUGCAUUUUAGAAAAUGUAGUAACAUAUGUCUAUUAUCUUAUAUAUAUAUAUAUAUAUUUGCUAUUUUUGCAAGUGUCCAUUUCUUUUAUCCUAUUUUAAAUUGAAAAUUCUUUUAAACUUUUUUCAAUUCUUUUGUAAUCGAAUUUCUUAUUUUCGAAAACUAGUUUGUUUUAUUUUCUUUUCAUUUGUUCACUUUUCAAAACAAUAAUUUUUAAAAGUUGAUGAGGUAAAAUUGGAGAGAUAAAUUCAAAAAUCAUUUCUUCUCCAAAUUUAUUUGUUAAAGGUGUCCGAAGAAUUAAUUCUUAGCGAAGAUGUUUGACUAAAAGAAAAUAUAUUUUGAAACAAAAUUUUUUAUUACAAACAUAUACUUUUGAAAGUUUAAAUUUGAUAUUUAAUUAAUCAUUUGGGGUGCGUUUGCAAAAAUAGCAAAAAAAAUUUAUGGUAAUAGAACUAAUGACACUACAUUUUCUAAAUUGCAAAAAUAGUAAAUUUAAAUCGGAUAGCCCUCCAAUAGCCCUGAUAACCGUCUUAUCUGAUAUAUCUAAUUACUUGUCAUAUUUGUCAUAUUUGCAAUAUGCAAAAAAAAAAUGUAUUAUGGACUGCUUAUUUCUAUUUUUUUUUUGUCAUAUGAUGCAAUUUUUCUAUUUUUUUUUAUGUUUGCUCUAAUAAAAACCUAUGUGAUUUUUUCAAAAUAUUUUGUAGAAAUUAAACAUUCUUGAAUACAAUUUUGAUUUGCACCUGAGUCUAUCAAUGCUUUCAAAGUAAUUUUAAAAUUUUAUAUUUUUAAAAUAAUUAAAAAAUACUAUUUUUGAAAACUUAUUCUUGAAAUUAAAUUAAUUUUAGCAUUUAGAUUACUUAAAAAAUCUUUUCCUUAGGUCUAAAUCAUCUAAAUUAUCAUUUUGCUUUAUUUGAGAAAUUUCUUUUUUAAUUUAUAAAAUUUCAUAUUUAUUUUGAGAAAUUUUUCUUUCUAGACAAUUGAUUUCAAAAUUCAAUAGAAAUUGGUGUUUAUAUUUUUGGAGUUUGUAAAACUUUUUAAAGACUUUUUUCAAAAAUCAUUUUCUUCUUUAGAGAUGGUUUCCAAAAUAUUUCUUUUUAAAUCUUCAUUUGAAACAUGGUUAAUUGUUUGAAAUAAUAAAUUAUGUUUGAAAGUUAAAACAUUUAUUUAAAUUAAAAUAUAUUUAUAUGGUUCUUGACUUGAAAUUUUUGAAUUGGUUUGAUCUGUAAUUUCCUACAAUUGAAAGUUAGAAAUAUAAGAUAAAUCUUAAUAAUAUUUUUCUUCAUUUUUUUUUCAUGAAUCUCUCUUUGUGGACACUUAUUGGCAUAAUGUCCUUCUUUUCUUUAUUUCUAACAAAAAAAAAAAAAAAAACAAAUUGUUUGAUUUUCCUCUUUUUUGAACUUUUUUGGGUUGAUUUUCUGCAGGUUUUUUGUAAUUUGAAUAUUUGUGAUAUUUCUUUUGGGGGUAAGACUUGUUAUACCUUGGGAAUUUUCCAUAAUAUGUGAGUUUCAUAUUAUAGUUUUUUGGUCGAAUUUUUCUUGAAGAAGAAGCUGGUUCUUUGACCUUCUCAAAUUCGAGAACAAAAUGUCUUUAUUUAUUUUUUAUGAAGAUUUGAAUGUUUGUGUACUUUGGUUUGAAUUUUUAUCUCAUCGUAUAUAUCUAAACCACAUUCUAUGAUUCUAGAAGUUAGUUGGACAUAGGUAAGAGUUUCCCAAGGUAUUUCCUUAGGAUAUGCUUUGUUGAGGGAGUUUUAGACUCUUUCUGCCAUGAAGCUUGAAAGUCUAUCAAUGGACAUUUCUUUCAAGUGUCUGACAUUACAAUCCUUAAAAAUAUAUAAAUUUUAAAUAAGAACAUGUUUUUGUACCAUCUAAAUUUUUUCAAAGAGGAACAGUGUCCUCUCACUCUUCUUUUAUUUCUUGAGUUACUAAAGCUCCAUCUUUAGUCUUAAUUGUCCUUUUGAUUCUUGUCCUAUGAUUUUUAAUUGCUACUUUUUGUUUAUUGAUUAGGGCAUGAUCCCACCAUAGUUUGAAAGUUCCACUAAAUCCAUUGAUUAGAAGCAUAGGAGCCUCUCCAUUUGUAUGAGCAUUGGAUUCAUAGGUUAUGGAACAAGUUAACAUGUUAUUCAAUGUGUCAUAAAUUUGAUACUCUAGAGUUCCAUCAAUAUUCCAAAGAUAUAUGGAUUCUCCAUUGAAUUCUGUAUUUAUGACAUACAUUUGUCUUGCUCUAGUUCUUCUCCGGGAAAUGAAGGUCAAGGAUGAAAAUUUAUUUUAUCUUUCCUAUUAACAAAUCUUCCAAAAUUUAUCUUGUUGAUUUGUUUUUCUUCUUCGUUGAAUGAAAGAUUUUCAAAAUCUUCCAUGAAAACUUUCGCCCCUUAGGUUGUUUAGGUUUUUAUUAAUAUCAUCCGGAAGGUUUUGUUUAUGAGUUUUUAUCUUAACAUUAUCUAAAGGUUGGAAAAGGUUAGAAGUUUCUUCGAGAGUAGAAGAAUUGAAAUUUUCUUCUAACUUGAAGACGUGACUACGAUUGAAGAAAUCAUUAUGUUAGAAUAAUUAUUUUAAACUUGGAUACUCUUUAUUUCUUUAUUUGUAGGAGUCUUGUGUUCAAAUUCAUUGAUAAUUUGAAAAGGAUUUGCUAUAACAUUCUUAUUAGAAAAACUUUUGAACUCAACAUCUUCCAUCGGAGGGAAAUCAUCUUUGAUUUCUCCUCUUUGAGUUUUCCAAUAUUCAUUUUCUUUUAUUCUACAAAGAUGGUCAAAAUCUUUUCUUUGGUUGAACCAUUUAAAAAAUGUAAUAUGUUCUUGAAGUAUUUCAAAAGCCUUGAAACUUCUCUAAACAACUUCUGUUCUGUUUCAAAGUAAGUUUCGGAAAAGGAAAUUCUUUCAAUAAAAUUUGCUUUAGACAUAAAUUCCUUUUGUAAGGAUUCUUUGUCAAGCUCAAAUUUUGAUUCUAAAAUAAUUACAUUUACUUGAGAACUAGUAUCCAUUUCUGUUUGAGUUAGAGAACCAGGGAGAUUUUCUUCAUAAAUGUUAUUUGGUAUUCUUGAUCUAAUCUAACAUAUUAAUUUUACUUUCGAGAACUUGAUCUGUUUGAUUAGAUAUUGGUUCACUCUUAAUACUACAUGUACUGGGCCUUGAACUCAUAUUUUCUUUAACAACAAGGAAGCUAGGUGAUUCGUUUUCAAACUUAAUUUCUACUUUCCCAUCAAGAUGUUCAAACACGCCACCAAGGAGCCUCCAGAUCGUUAACCCUACCGUUUCUUCGUCAACAACCUGAUCUAAAACGAAAGAGAGAAGGAAAACAAAAGAGAGAGAGAGGGAGUUUAACAAUGUUGGAAAAAGGAGAGAGGGAGAGUUGAAUAGUACAAGAGGAGGAGUUGAACAGUAUGAAAGAGAAGUUAGAUAACCCUAAUCACCAAUUGUGUUCAUCUGUGAACCAAACGUGGAGUGCACUCUACCUUACUCUAAUAUCAUCCACUCCAAACAUGCCCUUAAAGUUUGGGAUAGAAAAAAGUUCGGAAAGUUGUGUAUAAACCUAAUUUUGUUUAAUUACGAUCAUCGGAGUUUUAAUUUGUAAAGUUGAUUAGUUUGAGGUUAGAUGGAGACAAAUGAAAUUAUUAGUUUAUUACCCAUUGUAGAAAAAUGAGAAGUAUUUGUGUUUGUAAAAUGGGAUUUAAGUUAAGGGUAGAGUCCGUUAUGGCAAAUUUGUAAUUAUUUACAUCUUCUUCCUUAGGUUCUUAAAAUUAGACAAAACAAAAGGGAAGAAAAAUGUGAGGCAGCCGACAGUCACAAAAGAGAGGGAAAAAACUGAGAGAGUGAAGCAGUGGCGACUUUGAGGCAGUGGUGUUUUGGUUUUAGUUCAACGUCGGGGUCCGUUGGAGUCGUAUUUCGCCAGAUUUGGGUCUUUGUCUAAGUGGUUUCGGCGUGGGUCUCUCAUAUGCUCUUGGAGUUUGGUGGACAGUAUAGUCGUUUUGUCGUGGUUGAUUACAAAUUGCUUGUUGUGUUGAACUCUAUAAUUGUAUCCUAUUUUGCUCUUAAUAAAAUCUCUCCAAGCUGGUUCUCAAAAUGAAUGUAGAUCGAAUUGGUGGUUUAUUCUUUUAUCGCCUUGUGUGUAUUCUGAAUUGUGAUUUCUAUUUUAGACCGUCGUCUAUUUAGCGCGGAAAGUAUGAGACCCAUAAUAAAGUUGGAAAAGAAUGGAGUGAUGAAAAGUCUGGUAGUCACAAAUUUGAAUAAAAUGAGGGAAGUUGCAUCAAAGUGGCCCAGUGUGUAUCUCCACCCACCGCUCCCAUCAGCCUCAAAAGUCAAAAGAAUUCCAAAAGUUGUGAGACCCAUUAGUGUCCCCAUUUGAUGAAUAAAUAUCUACAUUCUCACUUACCUCCAAAUUGUCCAAAUCAAAGUUCUUAUAAAAAGAAAUGCAGCUUCUGAGAAACAACCUAUGAAUUUUAUUCAUUAAAUCCCUGAUGAUUUUCGAUUUCUUCUUUCUAGAAAGGUUUAAUUUUCAAAGCUACAUUUCUCUACCUCUCUUACUCGUUGAAUUUAAACUUAAAUAAAUUUCUCAAAUUAGCAAUCAAAUUAUAAAGCUAAUUAAAAGUUGAAUAUAUAAAUGGAUAAAUUCAAAAAAUGGCACGUGUUUUUUUGUCUUUCAUUUUAAUCUUUGUAAAAUUUUUAAACGAAAAGUAUAAUUUAAAAAUAUUAUUAAUUAUAUUACCUCUCAUCAAUUAAGCACCGAAGUUCUUUAAGCAUAAAAUUAUUGAAUUUUGACUGUUAAUUUUAGUUUAUAUUAAUUGAAUGCAGAAUAUUUUCAAUUAAUGUUCUCCUUCAUUUUAGAAGGCUUUGUUAUUUUCUUCUAUAUUUCUAGCUAUCAAGUAUAGUCUUUUCAACAUUGUUUUAGCAUGAACAUUCUCAUAAUAGGUGACAGGUGCACUAGGGUUAGCAUGUACAUAUUAAAUUGUUGUAUUGUUGUCCAUUUUUUUAUUUUGCCAAAUAGUUAAAAAACGACAUUUUGGAUCCGUGUAGAUAAAUAUUUUUUAUUACACCAACAAAUAAAUAAAAUUAAUAUUCUUUUAUAAACUAUAAUAUUUUUCUUUUACAUAUGUAUAUAUACAAAAUGAAAUCGUGAAACAACAGUACAGGAAACAAGAUCCUAAUACAAGACUUAAAUAAGAAAUUUUAAAUGCCUCUACAGUCUUCAACCUUCAACGAUCGCUUGACUAUCUAUACAAUCGUUUCGCUUUCAACCCAAUAUGACUUCAAUCAUUUUACAAACAAUAUCUAAAUCAACCAUUUAAUCUUUAGAAUUCUAACGGUGCAUCUUUGAGAAAAAUGGCUCUAAAAACUAUCAUAUAAUUUGAGUAAAAAAUAAAAAUGUUUGAAACUAAAUCGAUUAGUCAAGUAUAUGUAACAAAAGGUUGCAAGUAUUGGUAAAAUUAAAUGUAAAAUUAAAACAAAACAAAUUGACACAUUGUAUGGAAUAAGCAUAUUGAUGAUGAUAAAAUUAAGUACUGGGAAUUCUAGAGUGUUGAAACGAGGAAAUAAACGUAUACUUAGAGAUGGAACUUGGAGGAGGGAGUUGGACAUGGAACUUUGUUUCUUAUCAAUAAAAACAUGCUUUGAUAAAAACGUUUCUAAACUCAUGUUUUACAAUGCUUUUAACACUUUUUAUAAACAUGUUGUUAAAUAGAAAUAAGGCUCACUUUAAAUAAUAACUUGUAAAACAUAUUAAAAUUGUUAUUUAGAAAUCAUUUUACAAAUAAUCUUAGUAAAUUCAUUUUUCACUCAUAGACUGCAUAUCAAACCCUUGAUCGAUAAGCUUAGCCGAUUUCUUCUUGUUCUGAAAGAAUGGAAAACAACUUCAAUUAAUUCUCUUUUAUUUUAAAAUUUUCAAAACAUUACUUAGAGUUUCCCAAAUCAUCAUAAACAGCCCCAAAAUGCCUCAAAAAACCUCUCUGAAUCCAAAACGCAUGCCCAACAUGUCAUGCUAAUUUCUUAGUCUAAAACCUCAUUCUCUGCUAGAACUCUACUUCUUAUUUAGAGCUUAAUAGCUUAAAAUCCAGAAAUCAAAUAAAAAUACUUUCUUCUACAAAUGGGUUGCAAAACAUCUUAUUAUUCUUACCUUAAAAGUUUAGCUUCAGAUUCCAACAGAUGAACUCUACAACCCUUUGUAAGUCCACGUUAUUCAGAAUCACCCAUAGUCUAACCUUUCUUGCUUUCCAUAGCUAAAACUCAGCCCUCCCUUACUCAAUUUAAACGAGCAGCCCUAGCUUAGAAAUUAGACUCAAAAUGGAAACUUUUAGGAGUAAUUUCAUUCACAAAUGCAAGAGUGUAUUAUGAGAAAAAUGAAUCUAAAGAAACCUAAUUAUAGAGUCCAUUGCAUGAAUUUACAUUGACACCUCAUCCUUGCUUAAAUCUACCUUAAAUCAUAUUAAGACACCUCCUACUCACUUUUACACCUCAAAACACGCGCUAACAAGACUUUGACACUUCACUUAAUUUUUAAACUAAUUGUCUUAACCAUGUCACAUAGUUGUCUAAAACGCAUAGCUAACUUCCAAGGUCAUCUCGCCUACUUUCUCGUUCAGACUACAUAACGCGAAUUUAAAAAGUUAUAACUUAAAAUUUAUAACUUUUUUUAUCCUUCUACAAAGGUUCUCCAAAAUGAGUUAAAUUUCUGACAACAAAAUGUCAGAGCAAAACGCCAAAUUAUGCGUUCUAUAACCUUCUGGGAGUACAUCUUACUCAGAUUUACUCAUGAACUUACCUUCUUGCCUUCUCUUAUCCAAAAUGCCAACUUUUUCAUAUCUAAAAUGUCCAGCAGCCUUGCUCGAUAAAAUAAACUCAAUUUCUAAACUUUUAAAACUAAUUUGAAUGCAAAUGCCCAAGUGAGUUGCUAAUCACUAACAGUACUUAAAUGUAGAUUCCAUUGAAUGUAUGCAGCAAACAAAUGACAACUUAGGUUCUUACAGAUAGUGUGACAAAAUUGUCAUCAUUUUUCUACGAUUAGUAGCUAUUCUUUCCCCCACUUGUAAUGGAUUUAAAAGGAAUUAUUGGAAGAGAGCAAGGAGAGGUGCACUCCUAUGCCCUUUUUGGGCUUUCACUUGUUUCGUUCGCUUGUACUUUCUUCUAUUUUUGCCCUUUUAUUAUUUUAUAUUUUUCCUCAAAUGUGUUUGUCAAUCUUUGAAUUCAAUAUUAUUGCAUGCUUCUGGUUUUUUUCUAGUUUUUAAGUAGCAUAUAAGAUUUUGUCAAUGUUUGGGUAUAAUAGUCUAGUUUUUUAUAGUGAUUUCUUUCCCUCAAUGUUUGAAUUCAAAUGUGCCUUGUGUUGGGUAUAAUAACCUUGCAAGGGAAGGUGAAAACUAGUACGAAUUUAUCUUGGAACUAGAAUGCAGAGCUAAGUUCUCUUGAACGACGAAAGAUGGGAGAAAGUUAGGUUGUUUGAAUGUCUAGCUAGGUUAUUGAUCUCUUAUAUGCCAUUACAACUUCAAGUAUUCUUCUUAAGUCGUAUCAUGAGUUGCUGGUUCUUAUGCCUAUGUUGGGAACAAUAUUCAUCAUUUUCUUUCAUUAAUUAGAUUGCAGAACUUUUCGGAGACUUUGAUUCAAAAGUUUGAAUGGCACGGCUAAAAACUAUGUUUUGAGUCUGCGUUGUGGCCAUGGUCUAAAAGGGAGAGAAAAAGUUUAUGAACACUGCCCACAAAAACAAUCCAUUGUUUCUCGAAAAUGCACCUCCGUCGUCCUCGUGGCCUGCCUGUCUCUUUUGAUGCCGCUUACUCCUUCAUCCUGCCACCGGUAAUUACUCCUCUUCUUCUCCUCAUGUAAAGUAUAUAUAAUAUAUCAGUAAUUAAACGUUCUUACAUCGUAUGGACUUUCUAAUCUCUGUUGUGAAUUGGGUUGAGGUUAUUUUUUUAGUUUGAUUUUACUGUGUUUAUGGUGCAGCUGAAAGAGUGGAGGGUUUUGAUUUGUAUUAAUCCGUUCUUACAUUGAGUGGUGUUGGUGAGGCCGACAAUGGGGAAGACUGAUUUGAUUAAUGAUUUAUAUGUCUUUUAAAUUUGCUUUUAUCUUAGUUUCAAUUAUGUUUGAAGAAAGAAAAAUGUGUGUGUGUUGCCAAUUACUUUUCAUCUUUCUUCACUUAUUUGUUUUUUCUCUCAUUAGUUACUUAGAAAAAGUAGAAGUGUUGCUUCUAAUUUCUUGUUCUAGUAUACUAUAAAAAGUUGCAAAUUUCUCCAUCUCAUUCUCUGUCUUUCCAUCACAUUUUUCUAAUUCCCCAACUGGGUUCUUUUCAACUAUCAAUACUAUGACUCUUUUAAUUCUCAGGACCUGCUCUUUGAUCUUCCUUCCUGGAAUCAAAUUUUUCUUGGUUUUUCUUUUCCCCUCCAAAUCAACUUCAAUUGGGUAUUUUUCAUUCAUUGAAGUUUCCUGGUUAUCUCAAAUUCAUGUCUUUUUUAAACUUAUGCAAAAUUGGAAAGUUUUGGUUUCACGUUUAGAUAUAUAUAUAUAUAUAUAUACACAUGUUGGGAGGAAUCAAUAUGAAAUUCAACAUUUGGGUUAUUUGCUUUUGGAUAGAUUGAAAGAAUGGUGUGGUGUAGCUUGUUUAGUUCAAUGAAAAGAUUAUUAAGAACUUGUUCAAUCAUGCUGAUUUUUUUGUUGUUGUUCAAUUAAUUUAAUACUAUGAGGCUUUCUUUUACUUUUUAGCUACUUUAUGCUUAAAGUUAAUUUAAAAUACUCUCUAGAUAUGCUUCAUGUUUUGUUGACUAUGUUGAAAAGCUAACAAUUUAAAACUUCUAAAAACUAUCUAUCUUGAGUUUAGACAUGUUUCAUCUUUAUUCAUAUUGAUAAUUCAUAUAAUCAAGCUUUGUGAUAUUAUUAAUUAUUCUUGUUGUACGCUUAUUAGUAGUUGUUUGAAUUAAAGUAUAGUAUUGAAGUCUUCAAAAUUUAUGUUUUAGGACCUUAAUAAAAAAAUUAAAUAAAUAAAAUGAUCAUGAUAUAUUACUACAUUUUCAGGGUGAUUUCCAAUAUUUUCAACUUUUAUGUGCUGUCAUAUCAAAACACAUGGAUGCCACUUUACAUCUCAAUGAUGAAAAAGAAUACCAUUCUUAUAAAUUAAAUGUUCCUUCUGCAGGUUGCCAAGUGAAAAAUUGGGAAUUAUGAUGUGGAAGUAUAUUCUUUGAGGCGCAGAAUAAAAGAGCUAAAGGAGAAGUUGGAAACUACGAAUGCAAGGGCUCAAUCAUUUCAGAAAGAAGGAAGGAUUUUGCAACAACAAAAGGUUUAUAUUGUAGCAUAGACAUGUAUAUGUUGUUGAUAUGGUACACUUUUCGGCUGCACAUAUACUUUGUUUAUAUUACACAUAGAUGAAAAGUUUGGGCUAUUGUAAUUAUGUAAUGACCAACUAUUUAUAUGGUUCAUUGAUAUAUACAAUUUGUUAAAAUAUAAUUGUUCAAUUAAUGUGUAGUUUAGCACAUUUGUGUACUGUCUUGCUUUACUUAUGUUUGUUAUUGUUGGACUUCAAAACAGGUGCAUGAUAAAUUAUAUUGAUAUUUUUAAUUUUAUAAUUUUUCAUUUGAAAAAAAGAAACCUUGAUGACAUUCAAAGCGUAUCAAGAAUAAACAAAAUCUUGACACAUAAAAAACUGUCAACUAAUCUUAUAUAUUUGACGCUUAAAAGCUGUAAAAAAAAAUGAACUCCUUAUUCUUGACACUGGAAGUAAAAAAUUUCAAGUAAUCUCAUAUACUUGACAGUUAUAUGAUUUUACUUGACGCUUAAAAACUGCCAAGUAAAACCCUCUUGCUCUUGACAUUGGAUUACUUGACGCAUUGAAGUAAACAGAUACUUGACAGUUUUUAAGCGUUAAGUAAAGCCAAUUUUAUAGUAGUGAAAAAAUUUACUUGAUUAUUGAUUGUUUCUCACCAAUUCUUGAAAUUGAAUGUUGCUUGAUGAAAUUGAAUGUUGCUUGAUGAAUUCCUUAUGAAUGUUCUUGGAAAUUAGUUGCAAAAGUUCUUUUUGCAAAAUUAUGAAUGAACUUGUAAUUUUCUUUGAAGAACAAGUUAAGGCUUUAGUUAAUAUUGCAAGAAUUAAACUAAUUAACUCCCUAUGAAAAUAAUCUCCUUUCUUGAACUUUGAUCAAAAUUCUUCCAAGAUUAAGCAAGUUGAUAAUGUGAAGAAUCUUGAAUCAAAGAACUCUUAAUUAAGCACGAUUCAAUUUUUAAUCAUCUUUGAUUCAAUGAUAAGAAUAGAUUAAUAGUCUAAGCUCAUUCCUCAAUUUUCUUAUUGAAUUUUAAUCUCUCAUUCCUUUUUCUUGAGAAUUCAGUUGCAAUUUAAAUUUUCCCUUUUCAUUCUUGGUUACAUUUGAUUUCUCUAAUCUCUUUUCAAUGGUUUUCUUUUCUUUUUGUUACUAAUCUCAAUUGUUUGAAGCGUUUAUUCAAGAAAAUAUAUUAGUCUACACUCUCUUAGGUUUGACACCCAUGCUUUCACCUAUCAACGGUAAGAGUAAAAGGUAAUCUACAUGCGAAACUAGGUAAGUACCCUUUUAUAAUAAUUUUCAUUUUCGAACAUACUUGUGUUUAUUACUGACCUUGCUUACAUACAUUGCAUAAUUCUUUAACUUUUGCAUAUCAAAUUGACUCUUGUCAAAAUGGCAUGGUUGUCGGGCAGUGGCACGACAUAGGAUAUUUCUUGAAUCUUUACUUACAUUUUUCUUCGUUCGUAAUCUUUAGAAAAGCAUAUUACAUUUUUUUUUAGUCUUUCUUUGUUAUAUAUAGAAUAAAACAAAUAGUUAGCAUGCGAUUUUUUUUCUUUGCUUUCUUUAAUUCAUCUAGACUAAGGAAAGAAAAGAAAAGGCAAGCUAGUUCAUUACAGAACCAUUUGAACAUCCUAAAAUUUCAAGUGAAUUUUUUAACUAAACUUUUUACUUCUUUUGUGAAGGAGGAGGUUCCUAAAGAUGUGUCUUGUGGAAUAUGUGGCUUUCGAGGCCACCAAAAUGAUCAAUGCCUAAUAUUUAAAGAGUUAAAUGCCUACAACUGUCGAUACACUUCUUUACCCUCAUUAUCACAAGGUACGUACUUAAAAGAAUUAAUCUCAGGGUUAGCUUAUAGCUUAAAUAAUUUUAAAACUGAUUUUGAGAAGAAUUUAGCUAAAUUGAGUGACUAUACUGUUAGUUCAAUUGGAAGCAUGAGAAAUGACUUAGCUAAGUUGAGUGAACAAACUGUUAAUCCAAUUAGAUCCGUGAAUAAUGAUAUAGAAAUCAUGAAAGCAUCCAUCUCUGAGAUAGAAAAUAAGCUUUAUCAAUCAACAACACACAUUCUUGAAACGGAAGGAAAUGACGAACUUCUUGUCCAUCCAUCUCUGAGAUAGCAUGUGUGAAUGAUAUUACUUUAGGAAGUGGAAUAAUUUUCAAUGAUAAUGAUGAUCCAAAGUCUUAUAGUGAUCAUGUUUCCUUGUGUGCACUUGAUACUUUAGAACUAUUGAGACAUUUGAGCAUGAUAAAUUCAAUGAACUUAUAGAACAAGAAACUCUAGAAUAUUUUGAUAAUAAAUUUGCUAAAGAGAAACCUAGUGAUAAUGAUCUUUCAAUCUUCCUUGACUUUGUUACUAGUAUAAAUGAUGAGCAUGUUUUGGUUGACAAUGUUGCAACACAUGAACAACAUGCUUUAGGUAAUUAUCUUGCAUCUGGUAAAGAAUAUGAUUUAGGGAGAGACAUUAAGGAUGAUGAUGAACAUAUUUUGAAAACCAUAGGCAUUGAUAAUGAACCUGACACAAGCCAUCCACGUAGAAAACUUUGAAAAAGAGAAUGAUUCUUGUGAGGUUUAUUUUGUAUAAAGAAUGUGAGAAUUCUAAUUCCAAUGAACUCACUUUACCUUUGUAGAAAAAUGUGAUAGAACUUAAGGUUCUUCCUUCCUUCUCACCUCAAAUAUGUGUUAUUAGAAGAAACGAACACAUAUCCUGUCAUAGUUUUGAAGGAGCUUACCGAAGAAUAAGAAGAAAGGUUUGCUUGCAACCUUGAAAAGACGUAGGCAAGCCACACGUGUGAGGUUCAAUUUGCUCGUUCUUUUUCCUUUGAACUUUAAUUUAGGUGAUUUUUGUGUUGUUGUGCUCGUAUCAGAGUCUACUUUCAUAUUCUACACAAAAAUAUCAAAAUAAUGAACAUAUGCAUGAUAAGGAUUUAGAAUAAGCUAUCUUUAAUCAGGUCAAUAUUUGCCCUAAUAUAUAGUCAACACCAUCGUUUAGAUUUGAAGCCUUUUUUCCAUCUUUAAAAAAACUGCACAGUCAUUUUAUACACGAUCGUCUAUCAUUUCCUCCACGAUUAUGUAUUUUGGUCGUUCAGAAGAAGAAUUACGUGCGUGCAUAUAACCAAUUAAUCUCAUGAUAACUGGACAUUUUUGGUAUUUUCAAUUCUAGGCCUGUGGGCUUUUUUCGUUUCCAAAAUUGUUUGUACAGUGUAAAUAUUUUGUCAGUUUGUUAUAUUUUUGCAAAAACCCAUUAAUUAAUUGUUUGAUUAUUUUUUAUUAAAUAUGAUUUAAUCAAAUUAUUUAUUUAUUGAUUUAUUGAAUUUAAUUUAAUACAAUUUAAUUAAAAGUUAAAUAAAUUAAAAUCCACAUUAAUUGAUUUCUUGAUAUAAUGGUUAUAUAAUAGAUAUUUGAUGAUUGUUAUAAUAUUGAAUAUUUGUUUUAUUAGUGUUUUAAAAUGAAUUAGACAUUUAAAAUCUAUAACAACGAUAAAUUGCAUGCUCACCUAGGUUAAAAUCGUGGGUGAGGGAUUAUGUGACAACACAUCCCACGGUCUGUUCCAUUAGGUUGCAUAGUUAGUUUCAUGUAAUGUGUCUGCUUGUAUGUGGUGGAGCGACGCUCCCUUGUGAGGGUUGUAUUAUAGGAUUUGGAACACAGUGAAUUCUAUAUAUGGAUAGGGUCUCUUUAAUCGAUUUUCAUAUUGACUUUUUACUUUUUACUUUUGAGAGUAUAACAAUGCUUAUCUCUGAGAUUUGAAAAUGGUGGGUUACAAUUACAAGAAUUUUUAAGGUGUUAGUCUAUUCUUAACUGAAGUAGUGAUAACUAAGUGCAAUAGAAAUAUGAGAUAUUCAAGAGAUAACAUAUGAUCGAGAUUGUCUUGGUUCAAAGGAGGAAUAAUCGACUACCCUUUGGAGGAUGUUAUUCUAAACCUUUGAAAUAUCGUUGCAAAAUAGUAUAAUGAUGGAUACAUUUUUUAAGUUUGCUAAACAAUAUUAGUUCUUAAAAGGUUUUACAUAGUUUUUUCACUAAGUAGAAUACGUUUUACUUUUGGGGAAUUUUUACAAAUAGCAAAAUAUGUUAAAAAUUUUACAAGCUAUAGAAAAUUUUUGAAUUCUAUCAAUGAUAGUUACUGAUAGACUCCUAUCACUAUUGGCUAUCAAUGUCUAUUAUUGAUAGAAUCUGAAAAUUUUUGCUAGAUGUUGGAAAUAUUUGGUCAAAUUUGCUAUUUUUGACAAUUUCCCUUUAUGUUUCAGCAUAAAUAGCUCAAUAGUACAACUCUUAGCUACUAAGAAGCUUAACGGCUACAAAUAUGUGACAUGAAAAUUUAACUUAAAUUCAACACUAGUUGUCAAAUGCUAACCGAAAUGUUCGAGAAGUAUAUGAUCGAUGGGUUAAGGCCAAUCCAAAGGUCCGUGUCUAUAUGCUUGUCAGUACGUCUGAUGUUUUGGCAAAGAAACAUGAAUCCUUAGCCACGACUAAAGAGAUUAUGGAUUCAUUGAGGGAGAGGUUUCGUCAACCUUCAGGGUCCCUCAAACACGAAUCAAUUAAGCACAUUUACACCGAGCAAAUGAAGGAAAAUACCUCUUUUAGCGAACAUGUCCUCGACAUGAUGAUACACUUCAAUAAUGAUGAAGUAAAUGGAUAUCCCAUCGAUGAAGCAAAUAUAAAGAGCUUUAUUUUACAAUCUCUUUCGAAGAGUAUUGUACUGUAUUAGAUUAACGGGUCUCUGAAUAAGAUAAAGUUCACUAUAGCCACCCUACCUAAUGAGCUCCAGCGAUUUCAGAAUCUUACCAUGGGUAAAGUGAAGGAAGUAGAAGCAAAUGUUGCUAGAGCUGAUAAAGUGUUUAUGAAAGGAUCGUCCUCUAAAACUAAAGUUGGGCCUUCACUAAUGAAGAUUAAGGGAAAGGGGAAGACUUCCAAGAAUAGUAAGAGAAAGAAUAUUGCGAAAGGUAAAUGUUACCACAGCAACAACAAUAGGCAUUGGUUGAGAAAUUACCCGUAGUACCUUGUUGAGAAGAAAGCUGAGAAGAUAGCAUAAGGUAAGUAUGAUUUACUGACUGUUGAAACGUGCUUAGUGGAAUAUGUUACUUUAACCUACUAAUCAUAUUCACUCCAUUUCAGAGAAUUAUUUAUUGAAAAGCAUGUAAAAGACAUGACCAUUCCUAAAGUUUGGAACAUCAGAGAUUAUCUUAGCAGAAGCAGUGGGAGAUCUAAAGUUGUUUCGAUAGAUAUAUCUACUUAAAUAUGUUUUGUAUGCUUAUGGAAAAAUAGAGGAAUUUAAUAUCUAUCAAUUGUUUCAUAAUUAAUCUAUAUAAUAUAUUUUGAAUUCAAUAAAGUGUUUAUUUUUCUAAAAACUGUAUCCAAAUUUGUUCAACUAUAAUUAUAAACAACUUAUAUAAGUUAAGACCAAUUGAGGCAAAACUUCUUUUUAAUACUGAAAUGUUUAACAUAAAAAAAAAAAAAAAGAAAAAAAAGAUUUCUUCUAAAUGUCUAUAUAUGGUACUUAGAUUUGGUCUCGUAAAUCUCAAUGUGAUUGGUAGAUUGGAUAAGAGCAACUUCUAAACUAGUUAGAAAAUAACUCUUUACCUUUAUGUGAGUCAUGUGACCAUCUCGCACAAUUUCUCGUCCAGACUACAUAACCCGUCUAAGAAAAGUUAUAACCUAAAAUUCAUAACUCUUUUUAUCAAACUUCCUCCUAUAAAGUUUCUUUAAAAUAUGUUAACUUUCUUACCUCAAAAUUUCAGAGCAAAACGCCAAAUGAUGCGUUUUGUAGCCCUCUGUGAGCACACUUUACUCAGAUUCACUCGCGAAUUAACCUUCACGCCUUCUCAUAUCCAAAACGCUAAUUUUCUCAUAUCCAAAAUGCCCAGCAGUAUUCCAAAAUGAACUAGACUCAAUUUUUGAGCUUUUAAGACUAAUUUGAGUGAAAAUGUCCAAGUGAGUUGUGAGAAACUCCUUUAUGAAGUUAGCUAAAACGCCCAAGACCCUUUCUAACCUCUAUAGUUAUUUCGCCAAGACAACCCAAAAUGCUUGAACACUUCUUUAAACGCCUAAGAAGGUUCUCCAUUUUCUUUUUAUUGCCUAUGACACUCAUUUAGAGGUUAUAUCGCCUUCCUUGUUGCCCACCUUAACCUCUAAAUGUCCAAAACCAUACAUUUUCUACACUAGCCAAAAUCUCUCAAAUUUUAUCUUCUCUUAAACCCUAACUUUCAUCUUCCCAAAUAUUUUUACUUCCUUUUCCCCAUAAAUUUUAUUUCUCUUGUCUUUGACUAAGCUUAAUAAAUUCCUAAGGUUUAAGAAUUUUUGGGUUUCAUAACUUCCUGCGGCAUUGACUUGCAAUAAAGCCAUUGAUUGAAGGAGUUUGUUCAUCUCAGUGACUUGUCCCUGUAAUGCCACCAUUGCAUUCUUGUCUACUCCAUCUUCUAUCCUUCCUCUAUCUAUUUUAUUUCCCUUGCUAUCAAUUUGUGAUCCAAAGUCAUCAUCUCGCCAUUCCUGACAAUUGUUGGCUAUAACAUCCAAGUUUGUUUUUAUUUGAUUGUAGGAUGAUCUGAGCAUCCCGCCUAUAAAAACAAGGUCAACAGAUUGUUGUGUAUCCCUGCUUGUUAGUUUCGACAUAACAAUUUCGUGUGUAUAGCACAAAUGCAAUAUGUCACUAAGUAGAGUCAUUGCAAGUGAUGUGCUCGCCACAUCUUUUUGUGAUGUGCGCUUAAUUCUAUGUAAGAAUUCAAUGGUCAUGAUCAUAGCAUGCAAAAGGCUCACUAUGUACCUCUUCAUCGUGUAAUACUUAAGUCCUUGUUGAGUACGAGUUUUCCUACUGCGUGUCCAAGUGCAAGAGAAACAGUAGGUUUACCUGGAUGAUACUGGAUCAAACACUGGGAAUUGUUUAUAGACAUUUUCUAGGGAAUUAUUCAUUAGUUAGAAGACAUAAGAAUUAAUUAAUUAAAGUAUAAAAGAACGAGAACCAGGAUUAAAACUACUUAUGUACAGCUAGAGAAUCUGUAAAGAUAAUAAAUGGAUGCGAGGUGGAAUUGUAUGCAGACUAACUUGUAUGCGAAAAAGAGUGAAUAAAGGUCUACGCACCAUGAACCGAUUAAGCAAUGCGAGAGAUUUGAUGCGAUAUAACUUACUCAACCAACUUAUAAUUAAGGUGUGCUCCUCUUUAGAGUCAUUAAAUGUCACACAUAGUCUCAUUUCAAGAUCUACACCAUUAAGUUUGAUCAAGCAAGAUAUAUCUAGAAGAAUUAACUUAUAAAUCUUAUACACUUUACCAUUAAGAACAAAAUCUCUCAACGCCUAAUAUUCACACUUGUUCACCUUUUAUGACACAGUGGUGGAAGUUAUCUCUCAAAGGUGGAGUUGGUCGCCAAACUUUUCCUUGCAUGCAUUAGCCUCAUUAUUGCCACUUGCCCUCUCGAGUGGUUGGCAAUUGGCUAUGGCCAUACGAUGAGCCUAGCUUAACUAAUGCGAUAAGGAUUAUAAGCUAGGCUUCUUAUCAAGAACUAUCAGUAACUUAAACUACUAAUAAUACUUUGACGAAUGAAAAGUCAGAAAUGAUGGAUUGAAAAUGUAUAAACAUGUAAUAUAUAUAUAUAAAGAAUGUAGGCCUUAGCCCAUUGAACCAACAUAUAUUACAAAGAAGUACAAAAAUGAAGAGGAAGGAGAAUAAACGAUAUUUCAAGUUAGAAGACAACAGGAAUAUGGAUUCUUCCCUUCUCAGGAGUCAAGCUCUCGCUUUUACAACUGAUCGGAGAAGAAAGACGAAAAUUUUUACAGACGGCGGAAAGGUUAUUCCUUUCCGCCACUCUUUAGGGUUUUGGUCAGGCACUGUGCCGGUUCAGGCUUCUUGUUCUAGGUUGAAGGAGAUGACUUUUAUAUAGGCAACAUUUGGGAGGAAAACUUCUAUUCUUCUAAACUUGUCAGCGCCAUUUGCCAAAAAGUAUCUAUUGCACGUCACAUCAGUUUCAGUGCCCACUAUAUGUCUUCUAGUGACCCUUCAUCGUCUGAUAAUGUUAUUCCUCGCCUAGAAACGUUAAUUGCCAGAUGAAUUCCCUAUCACGUAGUCCUAGCACAAGAUGUUUCUUGUGGUUUACUAGUUUCUUUCUUUGUUUCAUUAUCUUGCAUUCAGACAUUAAAAUUGCAUGAAACAGACAUAAUACUUAUGUAAAGUGUAUUUGCAAAUACUUAUGUGUUUACUGUUAUGAUAUAUAUAUAUAUACAUAUGUCCUUUAUUGUAAUUUUACAUAGUCUCUAGGGUUUAGUUUAUUCUCUUUAUAAAUAUGUAACAUUGCUUUGACUCAAGGUGAAUAAGACAUACGUUUCUGAAUUCUAGAUUACAUUUACAACACAAGCUACGCAUUCUGAUCGUCUUUUUACGCGUUUUGACCUCAUUAUUCUAAUAAAAUGAGCUAUAAUAAUGGAUAUUUAUACACAUUAUCAAUCUUUGCUUAACUCGAAAUAAAACUGUUCCAUCAUAACACAUCCAAGGAUGCUGUGGUAUGGGCCUUCCUUGAUCAUUCUCUUCAAUCGCCUUCAUGAGUCUAUCAGAUUCUUAAUAUCUCUCUGCUCAAAGGUCAUCAGAUCCUACCUUCUUCUUGCAUUCUCAAUGGGAGGGAAUAACCUUUUCAUGAAUUUUUCAAUCAGGUUGUCCUAUGUAGUAGCUUCCCGUUCCUCCAAGGAGUUUACCCAUUGUUUAGCUUCAUCGCGUAAUGUGAGUGGGAAUACGCUAAACGCAGUUCGUCUUACAAUAUGCCUGUCAUAUUAAAUGACGCACAUAUAUAGUAAAAGUUUCUUACAAUCUCGUGAGGAUCUUUGCGCGGAUGUCCUCCAAACUACCCAACGUUCUAGAUCAUUUGCAACAUUACUGGUUUGAUUUCGAAUCGUGAGUUUUCUCCAAACUCAGUGUAUGUGAUACCUGAAUUAAAGUUAUAGAGGUUUGGUGAUGCAUAUGAUUUGAUGGGGCAAGAUAAGCGGGAUUUUUAUAUAGGGCUUGUUGGUUGGCAGAGUUAUUGUUUUGAUUGUUCAUGUUUGCUUCUUGUUACCUCUACCUUUGUCUAUGAUUUCUCUGAAAUGUUUGCUUAAUUUUAAGGUCAAUUUGAAAUUUAGGUUGUUCGCUUGCACUCAUAAACUUGUUUGCCAGCUUUUCAGCUAAAGUACGUGAUUCAGCUGUUUGGCUAAAGUACGCGAUUCAGCUUUUAGGCUACAAUACACAAAAUUGAACUUCUACAUAAUUUAGCGCACAAUUUAGUCAAACUAGGAAAAACUUUAAAAUUCCCCCACAACGACACCAAAAUUUGCUUGUUUCUACUCAUGCACUCUAUUUUCUCAAUAUAUGGCUAUGAUUUUUACGACUGAUGGAUGGCGAAAUAGAGUUAUGCGAUAAAAGGUGCAUUUCUAUUCAUGCGUUGCUAACAUAAUAAUUAAACAUUGUCGCGUAAGCUUUCCUCUCUAUUGCCCAAGUGUAAGCAAUGAGAGGUUUUCUAGUAAUUCCAGGGUCGAAAUCAGAGAAUUUAAGCUCAUAAUUUAUGCAAUUGCUUACUAACCUAUGUGGCAUACACUAUACAGUAAAUCAUAUGAACAAUAUAUCAAUUACCCUAACAAUUUACACUAUUGUGCUUGACGGUGCUAACAUAAUAAUUAAACGAUGCAAUAUAAAAUCGGUAUAGACAUGGUGAGGAAGGAAAAUUGAACUGCUAAAUACAACGACUGAUGAUUCACUACCUCAAGGCAAUACAAUUCGACAAAUGGGCCAGAUAAUUCAAAAAUAUAGGCUGAAUAAUUUUGUUUUUGUCGGAACAUUCGUACCUUUUUUAAUGCUAAGAUAAACAACUUUUUGCAGAGUUAAAAUCUUUCCAAACUGAUCGGCUUAACUAAGAAUUGAUGCAAGCAACUUCUUAGUGCAAUGUCAUACUUGCUCGCCUUUCAGGAUGCAAAUACACAAGUUAAGUGAUGCAUAUAUCUAAUCAUAUUCUCAGUAAUGCAUGUAGAGGAUGAGCUUGGCAACAAGAGUUCAGUGAUGCUUUCUUCUCACCACUUGCUUAGUUAAAUAGGGUUAUUAUGUGCUUGGUGAUUACAAUCUAUACUUUUGCUAUUCUUUUGAAUGAAUAAGAUUAAUAUACUCAUGUUUGACUGAGCAAAACUCUUACAGCAUUCAUUAUAACUUUCUUAGCAUUGAAUACCAUUCAUUACUACUUAGCUAAUAAAUCACAUACAUAUAGGCGAGAUAAGAAAUGGAAGAAGAAAAGCAUUGCUUUUAUAAAUAACACUUAAACCUUCUGGCCAUGAAGUUCUACUUACAAAACAACAUAAAAUAAGAAAGAGAAAGUGAAAAUACAACAGGUGAGUUACUCCACAGAGUCUAAUCUCACGUACUAUUUGCUUCGCUUUUUGCCUAUAGAUGAGGGGAACAAUGGAUGAAUGAAUCUCUCUCUCUUUUGUUUUAGCUCUCACCUAAAACUCAAAGUAAGGGAGAAGGAUUGAUGAUAUAAAGAGCUUGCAUUCCGCCCAAAUUGUGCACACUUUGUUUUGGAGUGAGAAACUCUAUUUAUACACCAGGAGUGAUGUUGACAUGCCGGCACGCGACAUUAAGAUCUCCAAAAAUUUAUAGCUAUGUUGUGCAGCCUGUCCUAUUAGUCAUCUUCUGACUUUCCCGCCAAAAAUCUUUUGUUUGCUAUCGGCUUGAUCGCCUAGCAACUACUUCCUUGCCAUAGAAAGGUUGGUUGGGUCUCCUUGCGCUUAAUGAGCUACUCGUCGAGCUUCACCCUUCUUCACUUAGUAUCCUGUGAUAAGAGCACUUAAACAUUUUGCGUUAGGUUUUUCCCAGCAUAAUCAAAUCAACCACUUUUUCUCCCUAUUUUCUUCUAUUUUCAUGCGAUAAGACUUCAUUAUUUAGUUUUAAAAGGCUACUUUCUACUAGUUAUCACUAAGCAAGAAGUAUAAACAAAUGACUUGAAAUGUACACAAACAGAUAUGAAAAAUACAUACCAAAAUUAAACUAAUGAUGUCCUCUCCAAAGAUACAGCCUCUUGAACAAUAUGAAGAACAUUCCUACAACAAUUGAAUAUUAAAACUUCAAAAUCAAUCAACUAUAACGUGCCUGAAAAUGAGAUUUCAAAUAACAAACUAUUAUGUGUAGAUCCAAGAGUUGGAUUUCAAGUCCUAUUGUAUAGAUUUAUGUACAACUAUACACCAUUUAUGUGCUUUCAUUGUGUAUAAAUAACUAACAGGACUUAUUGUUAACCCAAAUAAGGAAGAACACUUGGAAAAUGUAAUGCAAAACACUAAAUACAGUCCAAAAUCCAAACUAACUAAUAAUUUAUAAAAAUAAAGAUAUACAUAUACAGCAAGAGGCCUAUCUUAAUUAAAUAAACUACUAAAGGGAAAGCUUUUUAAAUCCUUCAACCCACAAUGUUUAAUUCUUAGACGCAGUAAUUCAUAAAGAUAAAGGUUAUCAGAGUUCCUUUUAACUAACGAAUAAAACGUGUAACUGCCAAUAAUAAGCAAAACCAACUUAACAUAAAGUCGUUCAGUAAAAUGUAACGACGCUUAUUGAACUGAACAUAAUCGUCUAGAAAUAAGUGUAAGUUCGUAAACAUCUUUUUGUAUCUCGAGGCUUAGAAUCUAUGAUCUGCAAGAUGACAAUGACAAAUGAUCGUUACAAACUUAAUUUGGUAUUUGAUUAACUUAAUUUGGUAUCUGAUUAUGAAGGUAAUAAAAAGGUUGAAAUUUUGAAUAAAAGCGUUGCUAACAUAAUAAUUAAACAUUGUCGCGUAAGCUUUCCAACAUGUAAGACCAAAAUAUAUACUUUACAACAUGAGAAAGAUUAAAUCCAUAAUCUACAAAACUAUAUUGAUAGAGGCCAACAUUUGCUCCAUCCACAAUGGCAUCACAAUGAUUAUGUACAUCUAUGAGUGCAACACGCCCAUGGCCAUAUUUUGUAACCUUAUAUAUGCAAAAGAAAUAUAUAUAUAUACAUAUAUAUAAUGAAAAUUUUAUGAACCUACGCGUGCACACAUUUAAUAAUAAUUACUUGUCUGCAUUUUCCAUUUUGGCAAAUUCACCCACAAGAAUGCUAUAAGUUACCGAGCUCAUUUCUAUGUCUUAUCUUCUUUCACUUUUCUAACAAAAGAUAGUAUGAAUAUGGCUGCACAUCAAUAAAGCUUACUAUUAUCGCAAGACGACACACUUGAAAAAAAACAUUUAUAUUGAAUUAAUAUAGUAAGUAUACUUUUGCAAUGACAUAUCUACCAUCAAAAUAUAUAUUUCAAGCAUAAAAUACUUAAUUGACCUUCUAUACAAAUCAAUCGAACUUUAACCAUAAUCAAAACUGGAAUGGUGACCUUUGUCAGUUGACCUUUGUGUCAAUAAAUGAAGCAAAAAUAUCAAGCUAACAUUAAGAUCAAAUUAGACCUUUAGUACAAUUGUAUAAGCCAAUUUUAAACCUUUCAAGAAACCAAUUCUAUAAGCCAAUCGUCUUCCUUGAGAUAGAGAACAAUUCAAGAAACUAAUUUAGACCUUUAGUACAAUUCUAUAAGUCAAUUUUAAAGUUAUUAAUGUAUCAAUACAAUUGAGAUUCUUACCUUGUCUGUAUGAUGUGGCAUAGUUAUAUUACAUUGUCCAGUAGAUACGUCCCAAAUCUUGAUUUGCUUACCAGCACUUGCAUUAGCAAAUAUGCAAUCAAGAAUUUGAAACAAAAUAACUCCAAGAUGCAAGUGGGUCAACAAUUUUAAGUGAAAUGAUUAAAAUGAAAAAUUCAAGAAAACUAGCAGCUUACAUUUCUAUAGAAUAACAAAGACUAUAUUCAAAUUUCUUAAAGAAACCACAGUGCUUCUAAGUCCACAAAAGAAGAUGUAGUUAUCAGUUGUCAAAUACUUCACAUUUACUUGAUACAAUCUUCAAUAAGGCUAAAAUCAAUAUUUUAUAUAAUAAAAAAUCAAAUAAUAGAAACAUGGACAAAUCCCUUUCCUGAAGGUUCAUGAAGAUCAUUCUCACUAAUCUUGUUCGUUCCCUUUGAAUGAGACGCGAAGCAGCUAAGAUAGUACCCUUCGCAACACCGUAUUUCUUAAGUGGGCUGGAAUUUCGGAAUGGGGCAAUGGGGUUUUUCAAAGUUUCAAACCAUAGACUUUAGAAACGGAUAAUAUUUAUUUUUCAGAAACCAAAAUCAGAUAGUAACAAAAAAAGACUAAUCACCAGGAAAGGUUAUAAAAAACCAAAUCAUAUGCCAUGUCUAAAAAUAUUAUGGUUACUUGGAACGAUUCGCUAACCCUUCAGAAAGAGAAUCAAAUAUCAUUUCAAAUGCAUCCUUUUGAAGAAUAACUCCAAGCUCUUUUUGAAGCUUCCUUCUGAAAUAUACAUAUAGAUUCCUUUCUUAUUCUUUCAAUAGCAAAUAGUUGAGAAAGCAAAAGAAAUGGAAUGAAACAUUGAGAAAUCAUAAUUUAGAACCAACAAAUGGUGUCAUAUUGUCAAAGCAGAUGAGUGAGGUGAAAAAUAAAGACAAUUAAUAAUCAAUAAUGUUACCUAGCAAUCACAAGUAAACAAUCAUUUUCUGUAACAAAAUUCUUUCGAUUGGUGAGUGAAAAGAUAGAAAAACCCAAGGAUCUUACAAAAGACGACUACAAUCAACUUGCCAAUUGAAAAAAUGGGCUUAAUCACAGAGAAAGAGUACAGUGAUGUUUAUGAGAAACUGAACCACACAUAAAAUUAAUUAUUUAUUUUGCAUUAAAACUUACGGAACAACACUUAAAAGGUACCAAACUUUGAUGGAAAUUUCUUCAAAAUCCUCCAAAUCUAUAAUCUUUCCUCCAAAACAUUAUGGGUAACAUUAAUUUAUGUCAAAACCAAAUGGGUAUUCAAGGAAUCUGAGAAAACUCACUGAAAUAUUUGUCAAAAGUCUUACCGAGAACAUGUCAAAAUCACCUCAACUCCACUGGACAACACGAUAACAACCUUUUAAACUCAAAUAUAACAUUUCAAAAUCACGAGUAAUUUAAUUUUGCACCAAACACUUAAUGGAUAUCCAUGACCCAUUCAAGAAAACCAAGAUUCUCACCAAUUCUAUGUCAAAAGAGCCAAAAAUCAAUCUUCUUAUUGACUAGACAACAACUCAAUUCUUCCAAAACUUCAAAUCUAACAACGAAAUGUAAUGGAUAUUGUUAAACACAAGCCUAAACUAUAUAUUAAAAAGUUUCAAGAAACCCAACCAAAAUAUACAAAAAUAAGAAUACAUUACUCAAGAGUGAUCGAAGCGGGUCAGAACUAAUACAAACAACUUCGGUGCGCGCAACGGUGACGUUUGGUGGUAGGCUGCUAGACGGUUGGCGUGGGGAGGGUGGCUUCAGCACCACGAAGAAUAUGAUAAUUUCUUUGUUGUCAUUCACUUAAUUCUUUUCAACUCUCACUUACUCUCCGGGUAAAACAACACAACAAUAGUUUGGGCAAGAACCCAUCACAAAAAUUCAAAGAUUGAUUCCAAAACGAAAAUGAGAAAUAAAUGAAACCCAAAUCAAAUGAAGAAACCCAAUUAAGGAUUCUUGCGGCAGAAGCACGAUGAAGAUUGGUUGCCGUUCGCGAUCUAGGGUCACAAAUUGAGAAGAGAAGAAAACUAGAAACCAACUUGGAGAGAAAGAAAAGAAAAAUUGAUAGGGAAAGAGUAGAGUAAGAAAGAGUUAAGUAAGAAAGAAAAUAGAGAAAGAAAAGAAAAUUUGAUAAGGAAAGAAUAAAGAAAGAGUAAGAAAGUGAGGGAAAAUUUAGAUUUUAAAACCUAAAAAAAAUUAAAAAGAAAUUAAAAAUGGGGGUCAUUAAUGUCAAUUUUUACAAAAUUAAAAAAAAUUAAAAAAAAUAAAAAUGGGUUGAUCAUUAACGUUGGUUUAAAAAUGACAUUAAAUCCUUAUCACUAGUGUCGGUUUAAAACCGACAUUAAUGAUCAGCCUUUUCAAAAACGACAUUAAAGACAAUUUUCAUUCUUUUCACCUGACCCUAAAGUCCAUAUUUCUUGUAGGGUUUAUAAAUGUUAUUUAAUCUACAAAGAGAAGAUUAGACACCUUUUGUCUUGUGGAUUGCUUGUCAUUUUCCUUAAUGAUAUCAUUUCAUCUUAGUGAUAGAGUAUUAUCGGUAAUAUAUGACUUGUCAUGUAAAUGUAUCAUCGACAAAGGUCUAUCAUUCAUUUCCAUUAUAUGUAAAUUUUUCAUUGUUGUACUUCUACCUGUUGAUAAUUGACUUCACAUGUCGAUGUAUGCCGAUAGAAUAAAGGUAGCACUAAUUUGUGGUGUACUUUCAUAAAACGGGUUCCAAACAAUUACUACAUUUUUAAAAAAUAUAUAUUAAAGAAAGGUAAAAUAGAAUCAGGGAUAAGGGACACAAAUAUUAGCAAAGAUGCAGUUAAUUAAUAGCAUAGCAUAGAUGGAAAAAUGAAGAGUAAGACAUAGAUAGAUUAAAGCAUACAACAUCCUUUAUUUUGAUUACUUCCAAAAUAUUUGAUAGAUAUAAAGAUAAAAGCAACAUGUGCAUCAUCAUCUAAAGUAGACAACUAAGCUAUGCAUACACAGGAUAUUCAAUGUUCGUGGGGGAAACAGUAGAAGCUGCCGCAUCUUCAAAUCGUAAGAGUGCCCACGAGUGGUUAACUUUUUUAUGAAGCACAGUAGCCACAUAUACCUUUUCAAAUUUUGGGACAGAUGGAGCUAAUAUAAAUUCAUCUACCUUCACUAAGAGAUGAUAUUUUUCUUCUCCCACAGAAACUGAGCAAACAACGGCAAACCCUACACUGAUGAACUUUCUUUUUAUCCCUUUAUUGUAAUGUGUAUACUCCUCCACUGCAAACCUUCCCAUUGCUUGCAAAUACGAAUUAUACUCGACAUUUGAAAUUUGUUUGCAAUCUUCUUGAUUAUUAGGGACUACCAUUUCAACAAAAUCACUCAUCCUAAUUUUUAAUUGGUUGGGUAGAAAUUAAUUAAGCAAAGCUAUAUGAUUGUUGCUGCCUUUAUUCUAGCGGUAGUUGCACAUUUAUAGAGUUGUAGUGUAUUGGUUACUAUAGAUGAGAUAUAAAGGAAUUUAAUUUCUAGUACUACUAAUAGUUUGUUUACGUUGAAUGUUUGGAUUCUUUUUUAAGAAAUAAAAUUAAAGUAAGCAACUUUAACGAAACUAUGUAUACUUUUCAAAUUAAAGUUUUUCAUUCAAAGUUAUUGAACCCAAUAGUUUCUAAUAUAUUCGUAAACCAUAAAUUCUCAAAGAUUAUUGACAUACGAAGUCAAAAGAUGAUAUCCCAUAAAAUCAAUACAAAAAAGUAUUUACAAACUAUAGUCUUAUGGUAUAAAAAAAACAAGCAAAUAUGCUUACGUACAAUUUACUUGCAAACAUGCUUACGUAUGAUUUACUUGCAAACAUGCUUACGUAUGAUUUACUUGCAAACAUGCUUACGUAUGAUUUACUUUAUCUUCGUGUGAAAGUUAUUUUUUAUGAGUGAUAAUUUAUCACCAUUAUGAAUAUUCUUUCCUGAUUUUCUUAAAUUGAAAGUUUUUAUUGAUAGCAAUUGAUAGUUGUUAUAGGUUGCUAUCAUGGAUGAAUAUUACCAAUGAUAGCUUUUAAUUUGAGAAAUAUGUUAUUAGUUGAUAUAAUUAAUGAUUAAAAUACUAAUUUUGGCUUAUAUAAUUUCGAGUGCAUUGUUUUUAGGUCUAUGUUUAUUUUGAAAUGUCCAAUAGUUUAGUUGCAUAAAUGACAAAAGAAGCCUAAAACAAUAGUAUAUAUAGUACAAGAAUAAAAUAAUUUCAUAUACAACACAAAAAAAAAAAAAAUAGAAGACUAAAAUCUAACCACCAUUUUGGGUGUUUUUUGUCGAAUUUCUCAAAUUAAAAACUACCGCUGAUAAUUUAUAUUAGUGAUAUAUGUUAUCAUUAAUAGCUUUCAAUUUAAGAAAUGAUUAUUUCACACUCUUCUUCUCAAUUUCAUGUUGAAAGAUACCAUUAAUAGCUGCAAUUAGUGAAUAUCAUUGAUAGUUGUUGUCAUUUGUUAUUAUUGAUACUACUAUGAGUGAUAACUUGUCACCAUUAUGAAUAUUUUUUCUGGUUUUCUUAAAUUGGAAAGCUUUUAUUGAUAGCAAUUGAUAGUUGUUAUACGUUGCUAUAACUUAUGGGUACUACCAAUACUAGCUUUUAAUUUGAGAAAUAUAUUAUCAGUUGAUAUAAUUGAUAACGGGCCAAUGACUAUCAACUAUAGCUUUUAUCAAUGAUAGACAUUGAACGAUAUAAUAACUUUUAAUUUGAGAAAUAGGUAUUAGUAGCUAUAGUUAGUUACUAUUACUAGUAACGGCUAUUAGAGAUGACUUUUAAUUUGAUUUGAGGAUUAUCUACCGUUUUGAAAGUUUGAGUUUUAAAAGUUGUUGCCCAUAAUCUCUUUUGUAAUCAGGUUUAUUUCGAGGCCAACUUAGACCUCUACACAAUGGACAAGUCAUGAAUGACCCAAAAUAGGAUGUCAAGAGAAUAUGAUUUAGGAGUCGAAAGGUUCAUUAAAUUUGGGUUGAGUCAUGCCAAAGGUCUUAAUUCAAUUAGAUGUCCAUGUUUGAAUUGCGGCAAUCGUUUACUUAAGGAUGUCUCAACAGUUUGGUAUCAUUUGUAUGCCAAUGGAAUUGAUAAGAGUUACAAGGUAUGGUUCUGGCAUGGUGAAUAAUUGAACUCAGAUAACAUUACCAACACGAUGGAAAAUACAGUGGAUGAAACUGAUUAAAACGAUGAUUUAUUUAAUACAUUUAAUAUGGUUCAAUCUGUUCAAGAACAAUCUUGUAAUGCAUCAAAUACCUUCAACACUAUCUUUGAUGACGCGAAGAAACCCUUAUACCCAGGAUGUAAAAAAUUCACAAAGUUAUCAGCCCUCGUGAGAUAGUAUAACCUGAAGGUUAGGUAUGGUUGAAGUAACACUAGCUUCUCUAAAUUACUGUCCAUAAUAAGUGAUUAUUAUCAGAUAACAACGAACUUCCAUGUUCUUUGUACGAAGCGAAGAAAACACUAGGUGUCCUAGGACUGAGUUACCAAAAAAUUGAUGCAUGCCCUAAUGAUUGUUGUUUGUACAAAAAAGAAUAUGAAAAGAUGACCAAGUGUCCUAAGUGUGGUUUGUCAAGGUGGAAGAUCGCUAAGAACUCAAAAAAGGAAAAAACUGGUGUGGCUACUAAACAAAUAUGGUACUUUCUAAUAAUUCCAAGAUUUAUAAGAAUGUUCAAGAGAUCUGAAAAUGAUAAGAACUUGUGUUGGCAUGCGAUAGAUAGACAAGUUGAUAGUAUUUUGAAACACCCGGCUGACACUCCAUCGUGGAGGUUGAUAGACCACAUGUGGCCAACCUUUGGAUCAUAACCGAGAAAUCUCUGUUUGGGUUUGUCUACUGAUGGAAUUAACCCAUUUGGAGAUAUGUCAACGACGUACAGUUGUUGGCUCAUUAUCACUACAAUAUACAACCUUCCACCAUGGCUGUCUAUGAGAAGAAAACAUUUGAUGUUGACAAUGUUAAUAUCAGGUCCAAAGCAACCGGGAUACGAUAUCAAUACGUACUUAGCACCCUUAGUUGAUGACCUACAAAUGUUGUGGAAGGAUGGAGUUCGUUGUUUCGAUGCAUAUAAGGAAGAAUACUUCACACUACGGGCUGUCUUAUUGUGGAUCAUCAACAAUUUUCCAGCAUACGGUAAUCUAUGUGGUUUUAGUGUGAAAGGAUAUAAGGCUUGUCCAAUAUGUGGAGAGGAGACUACUUUGAUAAGAUUGCAACAUGGAAAAAAAAUGUCAUACAUGGGACACAAGAAGUAUUUGCCAAGACAUCAUCCAUACAAAUUACAAAAAAAAAAAAAAUUAAUGGGAAGCAAGAGCAUGGAAUUCCUCCACAACCCUUGUCGGGGGAGGCCAUGUACCUUAAGCUGAAAGAUAUGAUAUUUUCAUGUGGAAAGAAGUGUGGGAAGACCGUGCAUAACGAAGGUGUGGCAAUGACUACUGGAAAAGAAGACCAAAAUUUCAGAGACGAACAUGCUCGAUUGGUCGUUUAUGCUUCUGCAAAAAAAAUCUUGUUAGAUGUAUUCUAAUGCUAUUUAAAAAAAAUUUUGAUUAAGGGCUAGGAUUCCGUACUUGUGAAUUGUUGAAGCUUGAUUGGAAAUGUACGAAUAUUAUAAAUUGUAUUAUAUCGUAUAUAUAUUAAAGUGUUGGCUAUUUUUUUCUUAUGGGUGUCAAUAUUAUAAAUUCAAAAUUGUCAUUCUCAGCUACAUUAUUGUCAUUCAAAUGGUUCGUGUAAUGGUGGAGCGACAAGGAGAACAGGAAAAAAACUGUAGUAAAUUGAGAAAUUUGCAACAAGAAAUAAAUGACGUAAUAAAUGCAUUUGUGACAGUUAUUAAUUGUUGUCAAUUAGAAAACGAUGACAGUUGUUUAACAAAAUAAAUUGUCACGAUUGCCCUAUAUGUGACAAGAAAAAAUGUCGUCAAUAGAUAAACAAUGACAAAUUUUUUUUACAAAGAACUGUCACGAUUGCAAUAUAUUUGACAGCAAAAAAAUGUCGUCAAUAGCAAAACAAUGACAUUUAACUUUAUCGAAAAACUGUCAUGAUUACACAAUGGUUGACUGGAAAAAAAUAUCGUCAAUAACUAAACAAUGACAUUUUUAUAAAAAAAAACUGUCGCGAUUAACAUAUUCAUGACAAUUAAAAAAUGUCACAAUAAAUGAAUUCACGACAUUUAUUUAACCGUCGUUAAUACACAAAUGAUGAUAGUUAUUUGUUGUCAUAAAAAAAAUAUGACAGUUAUUUGACAUUGUUGAAUGUUGAUUAACGACAUUUAUUUCAUGUCAUAAAAUAACUUAUUACGACAGUUUUUAAAAACUGUCAUCGAAGGACUUUCCAUGACUCCCGCUUCUAUGACUGAAAAUAACUAUCGUGAAUUUCGUUUACGACAGUAAAUAUCUGUCGUCAUAGACCACUUUUCUUGUAGUGCUACUUUUUCUUCAAUUUUUCUUUUAUUUUCCAUCUUCUUUCUUCUCUUCUUCUCCGAUGUUUGUUUUUUAUCUUUUUCAAAUCAUGAUCUUUAUUUUUAAUCGAUCACAAAUCUUGUAUUAUUUUUUUCAAAGUGUUAUUUGGUUCAAGAUCGUGCACCAAAUAUAAAAGAUUUUGGUGCAUGAUCUUGAACAAAAAUAAUUGGAAUAUUGAUAUCUGAUUGUUUAGAUUUAGCUACAUGAACGUAUACCAAAUUUAAACGUUACUGAUACAAGAUCGUGUACCAAAUGUAAAAGAUCAUGAAAAAAAAUCAUUUGGAUAUUGAUACAUGAUUAUUUAGAUUUGGGUAUACGAUCGUGUAGCAAAUAUAAAAAAUUUAUAUUUGGUACAUGAUCUUGAAAAAAAAUCGUUCGGAUAUUUAUUUGGUACACGAUCUUGAAAAAGAAUAGUUCGAAUAUUGACACAUGAUCUUGAAAAAGAAUCGUUGGGAUAUUGACACAUGAUCGUUUAGAUUUUGUAUACAAUUGUGUAUUGAAUCUAAACAACCAAGAUCCACAAUCGUGUACUAAAUCUAAACAACCAAGAUCGUUUAGAUUUGGUACACGAUCGUGUAUCAUUUCAUAUACGAUAUGAUAGUUUAGAAGAAAAAUUGCGCACGUGAGUGGUUAAUUAAUUACAUGUUGACUAAGACUUUUUUCAUAUUUUUCAUUUUAAGGUUGUGAGUUUUGUUCGUUUUCAAAAUUAUUAAGAUAUUUUGUUUAUAUUUUUCUAAAAAAAACCCUAUAUCUUAACCAUUAAUUUAAUUCUAAAAAUAACUUUCACUCUAAAGUAAAUCGUACGUAAGCAUAUUUGCCUUUUUCUUUACCAUAGGAAUAAAGUCUGUACACACUUCUAUUAAUUUCAUAGGAUAUCAUCUUUUGACUUCAUGUAUCAGUAAUCUCUGAAAAUUUAUGAGUCUACAAGUAUAUUGAAAACUAUUCAGCUGUACUUUGAAUCUACUACUUUAAUUUUGAAAGGAAACAUGGUUUGAUUAUAGCUGUAAUUUUAAUAUUAUUUUAAGAGAGGAAUACGAACAUCCAAUCUAAACAAAGUAUUAGGACUAUAUGAAUUAAAUUCCUCAAUAUCCACAUUUACAGGAACCAAUCCACAACUCUAUAAAUGUGCAACUACCAUCAGAACAAACCCUCAACAAUUAUAAAGCCUUGCUUAAUUACCUUCGAAUGAGUAAUAAUUCUGUUGCAACGGUAGUCCCUAAUGAUCGAGAAGAUUGCAAACAGAUUUCAAAUGUUGAGUAUAAUGAGUAUUUGCAAGCAAUGGGAAAGUUUGCAGUAGAGGAGCAUACACAUAACAUGAGCGGAAUAGAAAGAAAGUUCAUCAGUGUGGGGUUUGCGGUGGUUUGUUCAGUGCCUGUGGGAGGAGAUAAAUAUCACCUCCUAGUGAAGGUAGAUGAAUUUAUAUUGGCUCCAUCAUUCCCAAAGUAUGAAAAGCUAUAUAUGGCUACUGUGCUUCAUAAUAAAGUUAAUCACUCGUGGGCACUCUUACGAUUUGAAAAUGUGGCACCUCCUACUGUUUACCCCCCGAGCAUUGAUUAUCUUGAUGCCUAGCUCAGUUGUCUACUUUAGAUGAUGAUGCACAUGUUGCAUUUUUCUUUAUCUAUGUCAAAUAUUAUAUGGGAAUAUCUAAAAUAAAGGAUGCUAUAUAUAUAUGCUUAAUCUAUCUAUGUCUUAUUGUUCAUUUUUCCACGUGUAUUAUAAAUAAGGUGCAUCUAUGAAAUAUUUUUGUUCAAGUUUCCUAAUUCUAUUUUUUAUUCAUGUAAUCGUUUGGGACCCAAAUCAAUGAUAGAUAUCUUCCAUUGAUGUAUUUACAAAAACAAAAGGAACGUGGAGCUUCCCUGAGCCUAGUUCAAAUCUAUGAUCAGUUUGUAGCCCGUAAAAACAGGUUUUAAAUAAUAUUUAACAAAUCUAUGAUCAGUUUCCCAUUAAGGCUCACAUUUGAAUCACAAAGCAGUACUUAAGUUUUGAUAAAGUUUCAUCCAAAUUAUUACAUAAAUAAAACACUAUUUAAGAAAACUACACUUUUGCCAACAAAAAACUUAGUUUAACUGAUAUUUAUAUGUGUUAAAUAUCAAGAUAUCAAGAGAUAUGUAGUUUAAAUCCUCGUAACUCCAUUUUUGCUAACUUUUAACAUUUAAACCUAUUUAUAUUAUAGGUCUUUAAUGAUGAUCAAGGAUUGGAUGAAACUUAGAAAUAAAUUGUCGGUUGAAUAUAGGGAAGGAGUAUCCCAAUUCUUAGAAGUUGCAAAGUUUCAUGUCUAUGAUUUAGGACGAACAAGAUGUCCAUACAAGAAUUAUAUGACCUCAAUGUGGGAGUCAUUAGAGGGUGUGGAGCGACAUCUAUUAACAGUUGGAAUAUCCCCCUCGUAAGUUACUUAAUGUACUAUCUAACUAAGUCAAGGAUUUUAGGUGACUUACUUCUUUUAAUGUAUCAUUGCGUUCUAAGUAAGUUAUUUGAUGUAUUAUUUUUGUUGUUUACAAAUAGGAGCAAUCAAAGAGUAACAAGAUUAAUAGAGGAAAAUGACCAUACAAUCGUAUUAGCGAGUGCAAGUCAUUACUACAUAGAUAUACACAAUUUCAGUUAAGUGAACAAUGAGGUGAACCGGGACACGUGGACCUAUUCAAAGAAACGUACUCCAAUAAGAGUGGCCAGUUCAUGAAUCAAGUUGCUGAGGAUGCACAAGGAAGGACUCGAAGUUGUUUAUUUUCUAGUUGUUUUGAGUGCACACCUUAACUAUUUGUGUGUAGAAUCAAACUCUGGAAUUACUUUCAGCACCCACUCUGAAAUGUUCUCAACCAUUAUCAAGGGACAAUAUAUGCAAGACAAUGUUGGGUAGACGACUUGGUUAUUCAAAAUGUUUUGGUUGAGGCCCCAAACCCAAGUCAAGGAAGGGUGGUACAGCUCAUCGAGUUCAGUGUCUCAAGAAAUGCACGACAAGGAGGUGAGGGAACUAAGAGCCAACUUUGAGAUGUCAUAAUCGAAGAUUAAAGAACAAAGACAUGAUUGAAGAACAAAGAAGAAUGUGAGAGACGCAUGCACCACAAGUGGAAGAAAUGGAAUAAAUGAUUGAAGAAAUAUCACAAGCACAAAGAGGACCUUGAAUUUUAGGUGCAUAUUCUUCAGAUUUCUAAUUUUUUAUGAUUGAGGAUAGGUAGAUUUAUUUCAAAUUAUUGGUUCUGGCUAUCUUCCAGUUAUGGUAGCCUUUUGUAACGCCUGAGAUUAGGAGGGAGACAUCAAUGAAUGGUAUCACAUUUGAAUAAUAGGGAUCCUGAGGACAUGAAAGUAAUGUUAAGAAAGAUUUAGAAGAAUUAAAUGUAAUGUUAAGAAAGACUUAAAAGAAUUAAAAGUUAAUACCUAUAUCAACAACGUGCACCUUCCUUUUCAGUGGCUUGAUUAUAGGAACUUCAAAGUUAAGUGUGCUUAGCUUGGUGCAAUUCUAGAUUGGGUGACCUCUUGUGAAUAUUUCUAGGAUGCGUGUGAAUGAGGGCAAGCAUGCUUGGUGCAAUUCUAUAUUGGGUGACCUCUUGGGAAUAUUUCUAGGAUGCGUGUGAAUGAGGGCAAAGCAUGCUAAAAGGACUCGUGUUGGUUUUAUAGAGAAAACUUUAACUUUAAUAAGCUUUUAAGGAUAGUAAGGAUGAUGUUGCCAGGUAGUAGGGGACGCAGGGGAAUGUCGGAGAUCCGAAUUCUAAAUCUUGAUUCAAAUAUUGGGCUUAGGACAUUACAGUUGGUAUUAGAGCCUCAGUUUUAGGUUAUGUAGACUGACUUACAAUGUAAGUCUUUGAUUUUUAUCCCUAUGGCUAACACGGUCCUUCGUCACACGCCAUGUAUGUUUUAUGAUAUAAGUUUAUGAUUAUGCAUAUAUGACCUUGCCUGAAUUACACUAUAUAAGUAUGAAUGUUAUGAAUGAAUUUUUUGUAAAAGACUUUUGGUGGUGGAAUUUAGGAAAAAUGUCGCCACAUAGAAGUGUUCGUAUAAGUGCUCAAAGGGAUGAUCGAGUGGGCAAAAGAGUAUGACAUAAUCAGUUUAAUGGACUGUUUUAUGGUUGAAAAUUUAAGAAAUAAGUUAUGAUGGUGGUUUUAAAGGGAACUAAAUGCAUGAUUUAGUUCAAGUAUACUAAGCACAUCAAGUUGUGUUUAGAGUUGAGAUGUUAGGGAAGGAGCAAAGAAAACUUUAGUGAAUAAUUGUCUUCAUGUGACCUUAAGAAAUAGUUGUUUGAGUUUUCCAUGAAGUAAAAGUUACCAAUUUGAAGUUUGAAAAAAAAAAUGAAAUUAGUUUUAACCAUGCAAGCAUAGACUGUUCAACAAGGAGGUAGUUUUAAUCCUCAUGUAAAAACUAAUUUCAAGUACAAAGGGGCUGGGACUGUGGUCUUACCCAAAGUUAUCCCAGGCAUGAAGGCUAGUAAAUUGCUUGACCAGGGUACCUGAAGUAUCUUGAAUAGUGUAGUAGACAUUAGAGGAUUACUGCCUCACAACGAAUUUGAGUUUGCUCUUGAGUUAAAGCUAGACUUCGUUCCUAUUUCGAGAGCUCCGUACGAAAUGGCUCAAACGGAGGUGGAGGAGCUGAAGGUCCAGUUGCAGGAAUUACAAGAAAAAAGUUUUAUUCAACCGAGUGUGUCACCUUCGGGUGCACCAGUUUUUCUUAUUAAGAAGAAAGAUGGGUCGAUGUGUUUACGUAUUAUUGAUUAUAGAGUGUUGAAUAAGGUGGCUGUUAAGAACAAAUUUAUUUUACCAAGGAUUGAUUAUUUUUUUCCCAACUGCAAGGAAUGAGCCAGUGUGUUCUCUAAGAUUGAUUUACGUUCAGGCUACCACCAAUUGAGGAUUAGAGACAGUGAUAUUCCUAAGAUUACCUUUUGUUCAAUAUAUGGACAUCAUAAGUUUAUUGUGAGGUCUUUUCGCUUGACAAAUGCUCCCGUUGUAUUCAUGAAUGUGAUGAACUGGGUGUUUAAGGAUUUCUUAGACACUCUUAUAAUAGUUUUUAUUGAUGACAUCUUUGUUUACUCCAAGAUAGAGAUUGAACAUGAGGAGCAUUUGCAUAAGGUUUCGGAGAUUCUUCAAACCAAUAAGCUAUAUGCUAAGUUUACAAAAUGUGAGUUUGGAUGAGGCAAACAUUUUUCUAGGUUGUGGUGUUUAGAGGUGGCAUUUCUAUAGACCCAACAAAGAUUGAAGUUGUUAUUAGUUGACCUCAACCUCCUACAGUUUGUGAAGUUCGUAGUUUUAUGGGUUUAGCAGGUAUAGGAGAUUCGUGGAAGGUUUCUCUCGUGUAGCGAGUCAUUCGACUCAGUUGACCAGGAAAGAGACUUCUUUUGUUUGGAGCCCAGCAUGUGAGAGCAUUUUGUAAUUCAUGUAAAUAAGAAAUUAUUUUGUGUAUAAUAGCCUUGUUCUAAAGGAGUUGCAUUUAAAUUUUGUGGGUGUGAGGCCCAGAUCAUGGACUACCUUCGCAAUAAGACAACAUGCGACGAAGGUGGUCUAGGCGAGAAGAAGAACUAAGUGGUAAAAUGACCAAGCUAAGAACCCCCACCGCGAGAUAGGCACACUUCUCCAUAAAAUAAUGACAUCAUUACACACGUAAGAAAGUCAGCGAAUAGUUUGACCUCAUUGCCCUAUCUGAUUCCAAAUAAGGAUUUAGUAGAGACACGUGACAUUUUAGUAUUGGACCACCUUCCACCGUCGACAGUUGCAAUCAUUUCGGCAUGGGUAGACUCCACCUGGAAAAGGCUAUAAAUAGUGGGAUUUCAGUUAUUCUAAGGUUGUUCUUUUGGCCAUUAGCUUCUUUAGAAGAAAGAUUUGAAAAAAAAUUGAGACCUUCAGGAACCAAGAUCAACCAAAAUCUGGCAAGGACCUGCAAAGCAAGUGCAAAGGAGAAACUUGAAGUUGAAGGCUAGACGAAGAAACUAGCAGUUUGUGAUGGUGAGUAGUUAUCUUUCUAAAAGGAUUUCAAAGUCCAUAAAUGAAUCUGUGAAUGCCCUUCUUAAGAGAUUUAAAUCAUAUAUGUGUUAUCCCCUUGUUUUUCCUAAUAUUAUAAUGUCAGCGUAUGCUUGAACUAAUUUAACUCGAUUUAAUAAAAGAAUGAAAUACUUAUAUUGUCGUGCAUGAGAUAUGAUGACUAGUAAAUGUAAGGCCUUGAUUUCGUACCAUCAAUGCAACAAAGACCCUACGACGGUGACAUAAUGAAAAACAUUUGGAUCAUAGAAUAUGCUCUAUAGAGGGAGUAUAUGUACAGAACCAAACCCUAAGAAGGAAGUCUGGAUGAAGAAAAUCAUUGCGGAGGAAUCACUUGGGUAAGAGUGUAGUGCACGAGGAUGAGCAUAAAAGAAGAGAAAUACAUGUAUAAGUUAUAUCUGAAAAGAUAAAAGUCCUAUGGCAGCGGAAGAUUUUACAAAAUCAUUUCUCAAAUUAAUUUGGGAAUCUUAAAAUACCAGUACAUUUUAAAAAUUUUAGAAUCAAAAUUCUAAAUAAAAGAUACAGAGAACAUACUUUUCUUGACGUCUUUAAAUUUGCAAACCAUCGAAUUGGGACACCACCCGUCGGAGAUCUUCCUAUCCUCUGGGAUGAGAUUGAUUCGUGGAAACCAAUUGGGAUGGAAAAAAGUUUAGAGGUAAUUGAGAGAAACUCUUUUCUUUUUGCAAAGCAAAAGCCUUUGUUUUCUUUUCUUGAUCGAAAAAAACUGUUUUCUUCUAGAUAUUUAUAACUCUUUUUCCUUCUUGGAAUAGUAAAAGAAGUAGGAAAGAAUAAUGAGAUUCUAUUAGCAAUAUCUUAUAGAUUUAAUUAAAUAAAACUAAAUUAUUAAUUAAUUAUCCAACUAAUUAAUAGCUAAAUUAAAUAUAUUAUAUUUAACUUAAAUUAAAUUUAAUGAUACUCAAAUAUAAGUUCUCUUAUAACCAAUAGUUUUAAUAUGAAGAACUCAUUCAAAUAUUUUAUUUCUUAUAAAUUAAUUUUGAAUCAUAUCCAAAAUUAAAUUUAUAUAAUAAAGUUCGAUAAACUUUAUAUUAUAAUGUAUCACUAUACGUUAAACUAAUUCCCAAAGUAAAUUUGAAUAUUUCAAAUUACAACCAAUAUGACUAAAUCUCAUUACCAUUUACGAGCUAGGAAGGGGACCUAAUGAACCUACAGAUCAGAAGCUACAACGAUCUAAGAUUAAUUGGCUAAACUCAUUAACCACAUUAAUUAAUAUUCGUUAACUGUGUGUACACUCUACUAAAGACUCACAGCUGAACUCUUCUCAUUGUAAAUAUAUUUUUGUGUCCACGGAUAUAGACCAAUAACAGUAAGUUAGUCCUUCCCGAGUGUUUGUAACACCAGCUGGGUCAAUUUAUCGUUUUACUCCUGGGUUACCUCUAAUCCUUAAAUAUCAGUGUUCCUCUAAUGAACAACAUGUUUAUGGUCCUACCAAUAAAUAGAAACCCCUCUCAUGCCACAGAGGGGUAGGGCUCUUUGUUCAAGACCUGGAGACACCAUUUAAGGGAACACUUAUCUACUUUUCCUUUUCCUAAAGUAGGGAAUGAGUAAAUUUCAUCUUGUGUAAUUAUGUUCCCAACUCUCCACUUGGUCUUGUCCCCAAAAUGAUAAGCUUAUUGAGUCAGUUAUAUGCCCACUCUCACCCAUACAAAUCAAAGGACAAUCCCUCGCGAACAAGAGUUCAUAACACACUUAGGAUUAAGACUAAGUUACGUAGGUCAUCCUAGUGAAAUAGAAACCUAACAAAUUAACGGAGUUACAUCUAGUGGUUACUAUUUUGUGAUCCGAUCUUAUGCAAUCUCCUUGCAUAGGAUACCCUCACUCACAUAUCAACUACACGAAUGCGUUGGAUCAUUGUGUUUGUGUCAAAUACAAAAUGAGUCGUAUCCACAGUGUUACCAGGAUAAGGUAUCCAAUUUUAUCCAUAUACUAUAGACCCUUUAAGCUUAUCUUGAACAUUGAUCCCUAUGUGUCUCUACAUACUGUUCAAAACUCAUUAAAGAACUUAGGAUGUUAGUUUAUUGGAUUUGGGUCAAUGGAUUAUAUUUAUAACCUACGAGUAUUAGGCUAUAAAUAACAACAAUAUUGCGCAUAUGUAUGCAACGCGAUAAGGACAAGUGGCAAGAAGAAGCCUAUAUUGGAUGUCGAGAAUUAGGCAUUCGAUACAGUGGUUCAAGAAGAAGCACUUUGAAGGAUUUGAAGAAUUCUUUCACAUAAAAUACUUGUUUUGGUUGGGAGGUUAAAAUAAUAGGUCUGCUUUAUGUCCAAUACGUUUGAGAUCCAUGAUGAUAAAUCCAAGCUCGUUCACUUUGACUAUAUUUCUAUUAUCAACCCAAUCGCAGUUAAAUAAAACAAAAUAUAAUUUAUGGUAAUCAAUCUCCCAUAUCUCUUUAUUAUAUCAUAAAAUGUCAUAUCUGAUAUGAUAGGGUUUUUGUCUUUAGAACUAGACAUUUGCAUUGUAGUGAUUGUUAUAUUAACUCCACUAUUUUGAACUCUCCUAAUAUCAUCACGCCUUUUUGUGUGAUUGUAAUAACCAUUGAUCAUGUAACCAUAAUAAAUGGUCAUAUCUAGAGAAGAUCUAUGAGCUAUCCAUCUUAAGGAAGGCCUAAUGAAAUUUUUUGGAACUUCGAGAGAAGGGAAAUCAACAAAAUAUAUUGGAUCUGAUUAGGAUAGAUCCAAAAUAAACAUGAGGUGUAUGGUUAUAGUGAUUACCCGUGUGGACAACCCCCGAAUGAAUGUGCGAUUAUGCUCUUCUUGAAUCCAUCUUUUUGUUUUAGAUUUACCACAGUUAAUCUUACGCAACUUCUCCAUAUGUUGUCUGUCAUAAAUGACAAAGUUAUUAGGUAAUUACACAACCAACUUAUGUAAUAUGAGAAUAAAUAGAGUUUAGAACGUACUUGACGUAUUGUAGAACAUAAUUUACAUUCUGAAUAACGUAAAGAUAAGCUUGACCUAAUUGUUCCUUACUCAAUCUGAUAAAAGAAGAAGCUGAUAAUGCUCUAUCCACAUUUGAAUCCACUUUUAUUACAGAUGAGCUUAGUACAAUAGAACUAACUCCAGCCAUAAAUUCAUAACAGAACUUUAUAGCCUCUUCAACAAUAUAAUUUUCUACCAUACAUCCUUCUGGCUGAUUUCUGUUUCAUGCAUAAGUUUUCAUAACUUUCACGUAUCAUUCAAAAGGAUACAUCCACCUUAGAUGAAUAGGUCCACAGAACUCGAUUUCUCUUAUAAGAUGCACUACAAGGUGUACCAUUAUAGUGAAAAAUGAUGGUGGAAAAUACUUCUCUAAUAGGCAUAGAGUGAUAACUACAUCUUCUUACAUUCCUUUUAAUUGUGAUGAAUUAAUUGUCUUCUUACAUAUAGCAUUAAAGAAGAAGCAUAGUCAAACAUUUACAAGUCUUACAUGUUUUGGUAAAAUACCACAAAUUGCCACAGGUAGCAACUGUUGCAUAAGAACAUGAUGGUCAUGCGACUUUAGUCUAUAGAGUUUCAAAUUUGUGAGUGACACUAAACUUUGAAUGUUUGAUGAAUAGCCUUCAGAUACUUUAAGUUCAGAUAGUGUCUUACAAAAACUCAUCUUCUCCGCUCGAGAUAAUGUAUAACAUGUUGGGGGUAAAAAGAUCUUUUUCUCCCUUACUUGAGGGGCUAACUCUGAUCUAAUGUUCAGCUCCACCAAAUCUAAUCAACUCUUGACUCCAUUUUUCGUUUUACCAGAAAUAUCAAGCAAUGUGCCAAUGAGAUUUGCACACUUUUUUUUCGAUGUGGACAUCUAAAAAAUAUCACACAUCAAAGUACUUCCAAUAUUCUAAUUAGAAAAAAUAUAUUUUUUCUUCCAAUAAGUCCUCAAGAACUCGUUUCAUUGUUCUUUUCCUUGAUAGUUCUCUUACCAAAUGAAUGUUUGUACUUACUUGGUUGUACAAGAAUUUCUUUCUCACUCAAUAGUUAUAGAGUGGAUCCUAGUUCUUGUGUACCAUUGAAAAAUUUCUUCUGUCUUCUAUAUGGAUGAUGACAUGGUAGAAACUUGUGAUGCCCAAUAUAUGUCAUCUUUCUUCUUUUUGGCAAAUAAAUAGAUAAAGUAUUCUUCCCAAAAAUUGGACAUGCAUGAUAUCCUUUGACCGUACAACUACACAAGUUGCCAUAUGCAAGAAAAUUAUUAAUGGUCCAUAAUAAAAUAACUUUGAGCCUGAAACAUUGAUCUUAAUAUGCACCGUAACAUUCCACCUCAUCAUGCCAAUUUUUUUUUUAAAUCAUCAACUAAUAGAGCUAAAUAAAUAUCUAUUUUAUUUUUCGGUUGUUUGAGACCAGAUAUUAGUGCAAUCAACACAAAAAAAAUUUGCUUCAUACACAACCAUGGAGGUAGGUUGUAUGUCACUAACAACACUGGUUAACAACUAUAUCUACUACUAAGAUCUGCAUGCGGAUUGACCCCAUUUGUGGAAAGAGCAAGACGCAUAUUUCUAGGUUCUAACUCAAACUCUGGCCACAGGCUGUCUAUUUUUUUUCCACGAUAAUUCAUAUUUUGGAUGUUGUAAUAAACCAUUCACUACUUUUUUUCUGGCAUGUCAUGUCAAUAAUUUUAAUGAUUCUUUACUUUGAAACAUUCUUUCAAAUCUUGGAAUUGGAGAGAAAUACAACGACCUUCACUGGAACAUUCUUAACCUCCUUCUUUGAAUUUUUAGGAAUCUUCCAUCUUGACAUAUGACAAGAGGGGCAUAGAUUUGCAUAAGAGAGUUCUAUACUAAACAAGCAACAAUCAUUCCUAAAUGCAUGGAUCUUUUCGUACUUCAUUCCAAGAGUACACAAAAUCUUUUUUGCUUCAUAAGUAAACGUAGGGAUUUUAUGAGUAGGUUCGUCACACACUAAUUCUAACAACCCACUGAAACUCUUAUCACUCCAUCCAAAUUUAGCUUUCAAAUUAUAUAACUUCAUCAAUGCAGAAAUUUUGGUAAAAUUUUUACAAUUAGGAAAUCAUGGUUUCUUGGCAUCAUCUAGUAGUUCCUCAAUUUUUUGUGACUUGUCAUCAAAAUAAUUGUGUGUAGGCCUCAAACAUUCCAAUUGUGUCAUGAAUAUCAUCCUCAUCAAUUUCUUCUUUUUCACUACUAAAGUCACUUUCAUUGUUGCUUUUAAUUGGUAGUGAUUCACCAUUAAACAUCCAUACUUGAUAACUCUAAUCGAUGUCAUUAAAAAAUAAGUGAUCUCUAAUUGUAUUCACAACUAAAGUCUUUGCAUUUUCGCACUUUAAACAAGGGUAAGUCAUGACGUUCGACGUUUUCGAAGGUUUCAACCCAUUUUUAAUAAACAUCUCAACCCCAAAAGCAUAAUCAAUUGACAUUCUAUUCUUUUUCAUCCAUGAAUUAUCCAUAUUAUAUAAGAUGCAACUUAAUCUACAAAAAAAAAAGUUAAAAAAAAACAUAAUUAAGUAAUCUUAAACUUGUGCACUUAACUAUAAUCUACAAUAGUACUUAAAAUCUCAAAUUAAAACCAACAAGUUCUAUAUACACUCAAACAACCAAAAAGUUAUAUAUACGUUCAAACAGCUACAAAACUCGCAAUUGUAUCAAUCAAGUAAAAAGAAAAUAUCAAAUUAAAAGCAUCCACAAAGAUCAAACACAAAUUUCUAACCAUCAUUACAACAUAUAAUUCCAAAUGAAGGCAGUGAACAAGACUUUAGGGAUUUCUUAUGACAUGUAAUUCCAUACUUCUAACAAUAAUCAAUAUGACAUAUUUCUCACUUCAUUUCUUAAUUAAAAACAAAGUAAUUUAAUUGACAUAUGUAAAUAGCAAUAUAACCAAAUAUUUCAGCCAAAAACCAAACGCACUACUAAAGUAUCUAAUAACCUAACUAUGGUAUAAUACUAAAACUCAAUCCAAAAAGUAGACGGAAGUUGAACUAAUUAAAAUAAUAACCACACUAUAUUUUAGAAAAUCUGUCUUUAUGGUACUUUUUUAUGGUUAAAACAAUGUUGAAACAUAUACACAAUAUGAAAUAUAUAGUGCAGUAGUGUAUGAGAUACCUCAAAGUCCUACAAGUUCUACAUGUUUUACAAAUGACAGAGUAUAAAAUAUUCGAAACAAUCUUACAAGUUCUACAAAUCUCACAACCAAGCUUUUUAAUUACCAUACACGUGAUAUCAAUAAUAAAAACUCACAAUCACCAGUUCUACAAAUCCAACAGUCGUGCACCACAAUCAUCUAGAAAAGAAUAAAAAAUCAAAGUAAAUUUAGAUAAGUGAUUUUCAAACCAAACAAGAGCAAGUGCAACUUACAUUUUUUUACUUUGAAAUCGUUCAAGGCGUUCAACGGACGGCACUUCGAUUCGAAUGCAGAUCUGGCCACGACUUGCAAGGGUAAGUAUAUAUCAGAUCCAACCUUAUAUACUAGAUUCGAGCUUAGAUAAGUGAUUUCAAAACAAAAAAAAAAAAGAAAA
rnacentral:lncRNA from 1 species